rnacentral:lncRNA from 1 species
UUCAAUUGGCAAGGAGGCAAAGACAUCCUCACACCACCUCAGGAGCUUGAGUUGGCCUUUGCUCAGCUCGACUGCUUGACAGAGCUCUGGUUGUACAGGGUUGGGAACCCAGAGACUCUCCUUAGCCAACUCCUUAGGAAACCAGGAAACAACUUGAAACGUCUCCAAUUGCUGGGGAACAGGAUGACAGUGGAAGGAUUUGGGAAAUUGAGUAGGGAUCUGGCAAGUCAGGAGUGCAGGGUGGAAGAGUUAGUCAUCGAAGAUAACCACAUUGGCAAGGAAGGGUGGGAACAGGCAUUUCAGAGUGGCAUUUGCAUUAAGCUAGUAAAACUGGUGGCAACGUUUCGAGAGGAGGCAGGUGAAGCACUCUUCAAGGCACUCACUUGUCCAAACUGUUCGCUGCAAAGACUAUACGGGCGCGGACCAUACUUGAGCUCACGAGUUGAAGAGUUGAGCUCACGAGUUGAGGUCAAUUUUCAAUUGUAAUUUAGUACGAACAUUAUAAAUUUUAAAAUUUUAAGGUUAUGGCGAACCUAAUAAUUUAAUAACUCUCUAUAUAUUAUAUAGAUAAAAAUGUUCUAAAGAACACAUUUUGUUCUAAUAAUUUAAAUAUUUACUACAUGCAAUGAUAGGGACAUUUGUUAGAACAUAAAAUAAAAUGUUUGAAAAAAGAGUAUUCUUGUCACUUCUUUAAAUUUGUACUCUAUACUUUUUGGCUAGUAAAUAUUAGGUUUGUCAGAAUUAAAAAAUUAUUAAAUUUGAAAUAAGAUUCUAUGUGAAACCAUAUAACCGUUUGAAAGGAAAAAAAAUAACCGUUGAUGUAAGUUUAUUGCAUAUAAAAGAAAGACUUGGUUCUUUGUAGAAUACAUUCUUGAGGGGUUUGUCGUAGCAUACUGUCUAGAAUUUAUAGAUCUUCAUUCACACUCUCAUUCAAAAAAAGGGAAAUACACCCACAAAUGUCUAUGGGUUCUAGUGUUGGUAAUUUUAACUCUCACAAUCUUUCUUCCCAGGGCUCAAGGGCUAGGAGAUGCAAUAACUAUCCCAUUGCACAGCAUAACCAAAUCACACAGAGAAGGACCAGCCUAGUAUCACUCCUCCGGCCUUUUUUUNNNNNNNNNNNNNNNNNNNNNNNNNNNNNNNNNNNNNNNNNNNNNNNNNNNNNNNNNNNNNNNNNNNNNNNNNNNNNNNNNNNNNNNNNNNNNNNNNNNNUACAAGUGAUGCACAGAAGAGACAAAUUCUGGCUGCCCUGGAGGAAAACUACCAAAGCCUCGUGGAAGAGCUAUAUCUAGGCAAUGAUUCCGAAGCUUCUGAAGCAUUCAAGCAGAGGUGUUCUGGUCUUUUAGAGCGGAAUGCAAUCUUCCAGCAGAGUGCAUUCAAAGACUUUGACAACCCGUCAACAGGAAAGCUCUUCUUGUGUGGUGCUAGCAGGGUUGGAAAGACCACAAUAAAAAAAAACCUCUGCCGCAUUGUGCUUCAACAGCAGGCAUUGAGCUGCAACCACUUGUCUAUGCGACCACCAAACAAAAGCUGCUCAUUUGCGACCUGGCUGGACAGGAAGAGUUCCAUGCUUUCCACCAGUACUUUCUCAGAGGAAGUGAGAAGGAUCUCUUCUUGAUCGUAUGCAAGGUGGAGGAUGACAAUUGUGAGGUUUUCAAGCAGAAUUUGGUUUACUGGCUGAGGUUCAUCGCUUCACAUCAAUCAGCCUCACCCAAAAGGAAGCCCAGGGUCUUGAUUGCCUUGAAUUUUUUCACUCCAAAAUGCAACUAUGACCCAAAGGACGUGGUUUCUGCAAUAAUCUCUGACAAAGGCUAUGGGCAAGUACUUGAGUUUGGGACAGAUCUUUGUUUUGAGGUGGUGGCCACUCGAGUGAAAGAUUUAAGGGGGAUAAAAACCAUGUUGGGGAGUUGCUUGGAAGAACUGCUGUCAGCCCAGCAACAAAUACCACAGGAAUGUCUCAAAGCAAAGAGGAAAUUGGUACAAGGUGCCAGUCAGAAGAAGGUCAUACCCCUAGACAAAGUUGGUGAAAUCCUCUUGCCUAACAGUAGUUUCAAAAGUGACAAAUUGGAAAAAUUAGGUGGAAAAAUUACAGCAAAAUAUUGGGAACACAUGGUAGACUUCACUAUUUAUGUGAAUGGCCUGAAGGAACUUCUAAAGGUCAUCAAGUGAAGAGUUCUGAAGGUGUUGAAUUGAAUAUCCCACCAAACUGGCUCGAGAAAUUUGCUCCAGUACUUAAAUAUACAUUGAUCCUAUUAUUUAUUGGGGCCAAAGUUGGAGGACAUUUUGCUGGUAUUGGAGAGAUAGUGAAUGCAAUAGUGGAUGAGAUCAAGGGAAGCCUCAUAAGUUUUUUGGAUUCAUGUCUUCUCAAAAGCAAGCUAACUAACUAUCCCAAAGCAGAAGAUGUGCAAGAAAUAUUUAAACUAGUGACAACUAAAUUUGGGAAAGAAGAAAAACAUGAGAUAAUCAUGGAAAAAUAUUUUGUUCUUCAUCCCAUAAUUUUGGAGGGAAAACAAAUAUGGGUUUGCAAAGGUAUUUAGUAUUUAAGAUUUUUGUUUUAUCUAACAAACACCAUUCUAAAGCAGAUCAUUAAUCUAUAUUUUUAUGAGGUGCUCUAGCAAAAAGAAGGUAAAUAAAUAUGCUUUAUAUAGUUAUUACUAUAUAUCUUUGGUAUGAUUCAAGUAUAUUUUGUAGCUGAAGUUAAUGAGGUAAGUUUUAUAAAAUUAUUCUUUCCUAUUUAUUUUAAUGUUUCAGGUUCAUUUCAGUGUUGAAUAUUUAAUAUUUUAAGUGAAGGAAAAGCUACCAAAUAUUUUAUUUUUUAUCCCAUAAUUUGGAUGAUAAAAUAAUAUAUAUUUACAAAGGUAUUUUAUAUUGAAAUAUAUCUAUAGCGCACCUUAUCUCUCUCCCCUUAAGCCAACUGGAAAAGGGGCAAUUGCUUGAUGAGAGAGCCCUUAGUGGCUAUUUUAUCCCCAUUUAUCCCUCAAGGUUCCAAAGAUCCACGGUGACAGUAUAUUUAAAUCUCAUCCCAUGAUCACAUGUGUUACACUCACCCCCCUUCAGAGAUGUCAAUGUCCUCAUUGACUAUUGACUAGCAACCCCUACUGAGCUAAGGGGAACCAGCACCUCCAUUUCCGCACUCAAUCUACCAAUCCUUCCAUUGACUAUUGACUAGCAACCCCUACUGAGCUAAGGGGAACCAGCACCUCCAUUUCCGCACUCAAUCUACCAAUCCUUCCAUUGUAUAGACCAGCUAUUCCAUGUGAGGCAACUAGUCAUCCACCCGUACCGCAGUCCUACGGUGGAUACCUUCGUCCGUGGAUACUCCACACAAGAGGAAGGACAUCCGCAGUCCCACGGUGGAUACCUUCGUCCGUGGAUACUCCACACAAGAGGAAGGACAUACGCAUGGAUGCCCAAUACGUACGAUUUCAAAUUUAGGGGUAGGAAUAUACCUUGCUCAAGGGUAUAUUAUACUUUUAAGUAGCCACUAAUCAAUGAGAAUCGAACCCGCGCCAUUUGCUCCGAUACCAACUGUAGCGCACCUUAUCUCUCUCCCCUUAAGCCAACUGGAAAAGGGGCAAUUGCUUGAUGAGAGAGCCCUUAGUGGCUAUUUUAUCCCCAUUUAUCCCCCAAGGUUCCAAAGAUCCACGGUGACAGUAUAUCCAAAUCUCAUCCCAUGAUCACAUGUGCUACAAUAUCCAUGAUUUUAGUUUUAUCUAACAGAGGCUAUGUAGGGCAUUUAAAGUAAAUCAUUAAUUAUAUAUUUUACUCUUCAUCCCAUAAUCCUGGAUGAAAGAAAAAUAUGGAUCUGCAAAGGUAUUUAACAUUUAUGUUUUUAGUUUUAUUUAACAAACACCAUUUUAAAGUAGAUCAUCAAUAUAUAUUUUUACGAGGUAGUUUGGAAAUAUGAAGAUAGAUGAACAUACUUUAUAUAAUUAUUACUAUAUGUCUUUGGAAUGAUUGGGGUAUUUUUUUUUAAGAAAAGUUGAUGAAGUAAGUUUGCAUUAUUGCUCUAAAAUAUUCUUUCAUAUUUAUUCUAAUGUUUCAAAUUUAUUUCAGCGUUGAAUUUUUAAUAAUCCAAGUGAAGGAAAAACUAAUCAAAUGAUUUCAUAUUAAUGAUAUUUCAAUAUGAAAACUAAAAUUGUGAAAGAAAUUUACCAAAAGACAAUUAUGGCCAAAUAUUUUAAUAUCCAUCCUAUAACUUUGGAUUAUAAAAUAGUAUGGAUUUUCAAAGGUAUUUUAUAUUGAAAUAUAUCUAAGAUUUUAGUUUUAUUUAACAAUAACUAUGUAGGGCAUUUAAAAUAAAUUAUUGAUUAUAUUGAUUUUUGAGACUAUUUGGCAAGGCAAUGAUAAAUCAAAUGUCCUCUAUAUUGUUAUAGCUAUGGCAGAAUGUUAGUUUUACUAUGAUUAUGCUNNNNNNNNNNNNNNNNNNNNNNNNNNNNNNNNNNNNNNNNNNNNNNNNNNNNNNNNNNNNNNNNNNNNNNNNNNNNNNNNNNNNNNNNNNNNNNNNNNNNNNNNNNNNNNNNNNNNNNNNNNNNNNNNNNNNNNNNNNNNNNNNNNNNNNNNNNNNNNNNNNNNNNNNNNNNNNNNNNNNNNNNNNNNNNNNNNNNNNNNNNNNNNNNNNNNNNNNNNNNNNNNNNNNNNNNNNNNNNNNNNNNNNNNNNNNNNNNNNNNNNNNNNNNNNNNNNNNNNNNNNNNNNNNNNNNNNNNNNNNNNNNNNNNNNNNNNNNNNNNNNNNNNNNNNNNNNNNNNNNNNNNNNNNNNNNNNNNNNNNNNNNNNNNNNNNNNNNNNNNNNNNNNNNNNNNNNNNNNNNNNNNNNNNNNNNNNNNNNNNNNNNNNNNNNNNNNNNNNNNNNNNNNNNNNNNNNNNNNNNNNNNNNNNNNNNNNNNNNNNNNNNNNNNNNNNNNNNNNNNNNNNNNNNNNNNNNNNNNNNNNNNNNNNNNNNNNNNNNNNNNNNNNNNNNNNNNNNNNNNNNNNNNNNNNNNNNNNNNNNNNNNNNNNNNNNNNNNNNNNNNNNNNNNNNNNNNNNNNNNNNNNNNNNNNNNNNNNNNNNNNNNNNNNNNNNNNNNNNNNNNNNNNNNNNNNNNNNNNNNNNNNNNNNNNNNNNNNNNNNNNNNNNNNNNNNNNNNNNNNNNNNNNNNNNNNNNNNNNNNNNNNNNNNNNNNNNNNNNNNNNNNNNNNNNNNNNNNNNNNNNNNNNNNNNNNNNNNNNNNNNNNNNNNNNNNNNNNNNNNNNNNNNNNNNNNNNNNNNNNNNNNNNNNNNNNNNNNNNNNNNNNNNNNNNNNNNNNNNNNNNNNNNNNNNNNNNNNNNNNNNNNNNNNNNNNNNNNNNNNNNNNNNNNNNNNNNNNNNNNNNNNNNNNNNNNNNNNNNNNNNNNNNNNNNNNNNNNNNNNNNNNNNNNNNNNNNNNNNNNNNNNNNNNNNNNNNNNNNNNNNNNNNNNNNNNNNNNNNNNNNNNNNNNNNNNNNNNNNNNNNNNNNNNNNNNNNNNNNNNNNNNNNNNNNNNNNNNNNNNNNNNNNNNNNNNNNNNNNNNNNNNNNNNNNNNNNNNNNNNNNNNNNNNNNNNNNNNNNNNNNNNNNNNNNNNNNNNNNNNNNNNNNNNNNNNNNNNNNNNNNNNNNNNNNNNNNNNNNNNNNNNNNNNNNNNNNNNNNNNNNNNNNNNNNNNNNNNNNNNNNNNNNNNNNNNNNNNNNNNNNNNNNNNNNNNNNNNNNNNNNNNNNNNNNNNNNNNNNNNNNNNNNNNNNNNNNNNNNNNNNNNNNNNNNNNNNNNNNNNNNNNNNNNNNNNNNNNNNNNNNNNNNNNNNNNNNNNNNNNNNNNNNNNNNNNNNNNNNNNNNNNNNNNNNNNNNNNNNNNNNNNNNNNNNNNNNNNNNNNNNNNNNNNNNNNNNNNNNNNNNNNNNNNNNNNNNNNNNNNNNNNNNNNNNNNNNNNNNNNNNNNNNNNNNNNNNNNNNNNNNNNNNNNNNNNNNNNNNNNNNNNNNNNNNNNNNNNNNNNNNNNNNNNNNNNNNNNNNNNNNNNNNNNNNNNNNNNNNNNNNNNNNNNNNNNNNNNNNNNNNNNNNNNNNNNNNNNNNNNNNNNNNNNNNNNNNNNNNNNNNNNNNNNNNNNNNNNNNNNNNNNNNNNNNNNNNNNNNNNNNNNNNNNNNNNNNNNNNNNNNNNNNNNNNNNNNNNNNNNNNNNNNNNNNNNNNNNNNNNNNNNNNNNNNNNNNNNNNNNNNNNNNNNNNNNNNNNNNNNNNNNNNNNNNNNNNNNNNNNNNNNNNNNNNNNNNNNNNNNNNNNNNNNNNNNNNNNNNNNNNNNNNNNNNNNNNNNNNNNNNNNNNNNNNNNNNNNNNNNNNNNNNNNNNNNNNNNNNNNNNNNNNNNNNNNNNNNNNNNNNNNNNNNNNNNNNNNNNNNNNNNNNNNNNNNNNNNNNNNNNNNNNNNNNNNNNNNNNNNNNNNNNNNNNNNNNNNNNNNNNNNNNNNNNNNNNNNNNNNNNNNNNNNNNNNNNNNNNNNNNNNNNNNNNNNNNNNNNNNNNNNNNNNNNNNNNNNNNNNNNNNNNNNNNNNNNNNNNNNNNNNNNNNNNNNNNNNNNNNNNNNNNNNNNNNNNNNNNNNNNNNNNNNNNNNNNNNNNNNNNNNNNNNNNNNNNNNNNNNNNNNNNNNNNNNNNNNNNNNNNNNNNNNNNNNNNGUGCAUCAUUUACAAAACUUACACUCUCCAAAUCUCACUCGUAAGAGGUUGUUUACUAUAUUACCAAAAUUGUUAGUAACCUUGUGUAAAAUUGAUACCUUCUCCUUAAAUAUCAACAAUGGAUUGUAUUUCAUUUUCAUAUCUAACAUGGAAACAUUUAUGGAUGCUUUGUGGUACUAAGUAUUUACCAAAUGACCACUUAAUUUUAGAUUCAAUAUUUGUAUUACAAAGAAAAAAAAGCAAGAGAUGGAAUACUUGGAUUUUAUGGUCCAAAAGUAAUAAGAGUGAGAAUAGCACCAUUGGACUAACUAGAAUAUCUAAACCAAAUAACACUUGAGAUUCAUAAGUUGUCCUUGAAAGCCAAGAUAUCAACAAAAAGUAGUGAUCACAAGAAUAAUAGAAUAAGUGGUUGCAUAUGAAAUGUUGGAGAUGAGUUGAGACUACAUUCUCGAAAUAAAUAUUAUAAAUAGAGGAUGUUAUUAUUGUAGAUUUGCAUGUUUUGCAAAGGUGAUACAUACUUGUAUGACAUUUCUCCAAAAAAACCAUAAAUAAUAUCUAAAGAGUUUUGAGAAAAAAUUUAUCUUUCACAUUUGUAGUUUCCAAGUAUCAUGUAUGUUGUAUUUACAUUGUUUCCUAUAAGAGCCACAAUUUUCAAGAUUGUGAAUAAAAGUAGUAAGCCAUUGUUUUUUAGGAGAACAAUUCCUUGGAAAGCAAUAUCUAAAGCAAAUUGUUGAUAAUUAUCAUUGCAUCUACAAGUGAUGAAUAUAGUUAAGUGUUUGGAUUGCCAUUGAAUAAUCUAAGCCACAUUUUGGUUGUAAUGAGAUUGGAUAUUAUAUGGUUAAAGUUAACCUUGGUGAUAUUUCUAAUUUGAAGUGUUGAUUUCUCAUGAUUGUCAAGAAAAAGUUUUGAAUUUAUUAAUUUAAAAUAAUCUUGGUAAAACUUUAGAAGUUGGUCCCAAAAUUAAUAUUGAAACCUGCAACAAUUCUAAUUAUCAAAUUUUUACCUAUAAUAUGGAAUCAACAACUGCAUCUUUGGCUAAGGGAGUAAAAACUAUAUAUUUAAUAAAAAGUAAAAGAAUGAUUUUUCUCGAGGAGAGAAAUGAAUAAAUUUAUUGCAUCUCCACCUAUUUUGUAUUAUAUUUGUGAGCAAACUUUGAUUAGCACAAGUUAAGAAACUAUUUACUUGGUUGUAAGAGCACAUCACACUGCUCAUUUGGCCAUCUUAAAUGUAACUUUGGAAAAGCAGGUUAUAAGAGUUAAUCAAGUUUUAUUCACUCACCUAUGAAAAACUUACGAGUGAAAGCAUUUCACUCACUACAUAUUGAAAAGCAAAGAAAAUAAGCUGAAAGGAAGAGAGAUAAGUUGAAAUUAUACCUUUGCAUUGAAAUAAUUAUAAACUCUUAAAUUUGAAAUUCCCGGGAAGUCACCCAACCAAGAGACACUUAACCCUAAAUAUCCCAAGACCUUUAACCGAUUGAAAAAAUGAAUGCACUUGGAAAAUAAGAUAUAUUUUUAUUCAUAAGCGCUUUCCUUCUAUAUUUGAACCCUAUUGAUCAUCUUUCAAGUUAUUCUCUUUAAUUGUUUAUAGUAAUAUUAAUGCAUUUAUGGAUAAGCUUGUGGUUUUGUAACUAUAGACAAAAUUCUAGAACAUGAGACAAAACUUUACAUCUCUAAUCAAGUAAAAAAGUGUAGAGUUGAAUGAAGCUACAGUGAGUAUCAACAAUGGAAAAAUUGUAGUAGCUAAAGUAAAAUUGCCAAACUCUAGUGAGUAAGAAUUUUUCUCUUGUCUUUUUCAUAUGGCAGGGUGACACUAUGCAAUUCAGAUGAAGCAUCCUUGGAAAGCCUAGGUAAACAUAGUGAAUUUCCACUUGCAUUGCAAGAAUGCUUUGAUUAUAAGCACAUCUUGCUGUUUUUCUUCAGAACUAGUACUUGUGAUCUUGCAAAUUGCAAUUAAAGUACUUCGAUUUAGUCGGGUAUAGUUGCCGCAAAACAUCCUCCUCUGCUGCCGCAGUGCAAGUGGCCAAGCAGCACAAACAUUCAUUCCCAACAAACACUGAUUAGUUUACUCGUUUUGAAACAUUACCAGAUAGAUAGUGUGGUGCUGGAUUCAGGGGAGGUGCUCGUAACAAUCACGAAAGUUCCAGUUUGACUCCAAACAUCUCCCGUGUGAUCUUCCACUUGCAAGCGAUAUCUUGUUCUUCAUGUAUCAAUCAAAUGGAAGGGAAGUUGCUACCUCCAAAACUCGUUUGUUUCUUCUACAACAGUGUCGAUACGAUACGCGGAGUAAAAAAGGAAGCAAUCCAAAAAGAGGAUGUCCGUAAGAUCACUACAGCUUAACCUCACUCUCGCAACUUGGCUCGGUGGUCUCUUCAUGGAGGAAUCCAUGGCAGAAAGAGAAAGAUCGUCAAGUCCGAGCUUUUGCAAACGAGGGAGCGAUCGAGCGAAACGACGGCUGCCGCACACUGUGGAUUGAUCGAUAAGUCUCUAGCUGGAGACACGGAGAAUCCACCGAGCAUCUCAACAGGAACUUUCAUGAUCAUCAUCACGCGCUUCAAGCACGGCCUAGCUUAACAUCAACGACUUUGGGCUUGGCAAAGUUCUUUAUGUCUCUCUCUCUCUCUCUCUCUUGCUGCUUGCUCGUGGAUUUUUUAACGAAUUUCUUCGUCUUCCGUGUGCUGCCGGGCUUGAGGAAAUCUGUCCGAGAAACUGGGCAUGUAUCUUGUUUCCAGUUUGGGUUGCUUCGGACGACUUUCGUGCCGGUCGCCAGAGGAAAAAGAAUUGUCAUGGAAAAAACAAUGGAACCUGUAAGCGCUCUGGAUAACACGUUAGCUUGUCACAUCCAUGGCAAAAAGCUUAGACUUUGCUGGAUGAUCUGCGGCCUUGAUCUCAGGCUAAUGCCGUGCUGAUCACAUCAGCGAGAGGAAUUUAAAGACUUUUCCAGUUGACAAGAAGUGGUGGAGUGAUCGGGCAGUGAUCCAUCGACUUCGAGCGAAACAUGGCAUGGAUCGAAUCGUCCAAGUCCGAAUAGAAAAAGAAAAAGGACGAGAUGGAGAUGGAGGGAUCAAAGAAGUGGAGCGCGGCAAAGUCAAUCAAAGCCGGUGCCAUUUCUCUCUCCUCUCAGAUUUUUGCGCUCUCUCUCUCCUUCAAACUUUCUGUGUGUUUCUUUUGCUGGCAACAAAAACAAAGGCCACACAUGGGGAGCUAAAGAGGGAACAUGGACUCCCAGCGAACAAUAAAAAUAAGCAUUUUAGGGGCCCAAAACCUCUUGUCACUGGUGGACCAUGGGCCGAUUCCGGAAUAUUCUCCGGCAGCGAAUAUUCUAUUAUUCGCUAGGGUUAAGGCACCGGCAUCUAAGCUAUAGAGUCAAACCAAUAAUGGCACGAUGUAAAAAAGAAGAACUACUAGCAUUGUCAUCCCCUUAGUUUUUGAUUUCUAGGUUUUGCUAGAGUGGCGUUCUCUCUUUUAUUCUCUUUAACAAAGCCCAAUGAAUGGAGUUUCAAACGUCGUACCCCGCGUACUCUACGCGGGGUUGGUUGUCACAUAGAGGUGAUCAUGAGGAAGCACUACCAAGGAUUGGAGGCGUAUAAUAAACUAGAGAGAGGCGUAUGGUAGCGGUGGAGGCGUAGAGCGUACGGUGGCGGGUACGAGACCGCCGGUCCGUGGCUCGAGUCCGGCGCGGCGCGGCAUCCGCUGGUCCGGGUUCGAGCCCGGCGUCCCCCAGUGGUCCAUUUUAUGACCCAAACUGGAUUCCGACAAACUUAAAUUCGGGGAGCUGCUAAAUCUGGCAACAAACCGGUUAUAGCUAAAUUUGAGGCAGAUAGCUAAAUUGGCCGUAAGCCCGAAGGGCUGAAAAGGGCGUCCACGGUGGCUGGAUUGUAUAUCCAGAUGUAGCUGUGCCACGUGUCAAAAAGCCAGUGGACUUCCAUGUCAGAAACCCGACCUGGGGGAAUUGUACGGCAUUUGGAUGGAUAGCUAUUAGCUAGUAGUUGGCUAUGGCGAGGGGCGCUGCGCCUUUGCUCUUCUCUCUCUCGCCGAGCAAAGCGGGGAUCUUGAUGCGCUAGGGCAUCGAUUCUCGUUGAUCGUGUUGGCAGCGCCUCGCAGCGGUGGCGGCAUUGGGAUUAUGACGCUUGCCCGGGCAAUGUGUCGAAUUUGAAGGCGCUGCGCCACUGUGUCACGGGCGCGAUCGAGCGCGCGUCGACGGGGCAUCGAUGGAGCUAGGUAAUCACACAAGGGGCUCGCGUUGAAUCGAGCUUUUUCCUUCUUUCUCUCUGCUUCCCGUGAUCUUCCUCGCUUUUCCCAUUCGAUCCUCGGCUUUCCAUGGCGAAUUGGAGGUAAUCGCUCCGAAAUAUUCCCUCCUCUCGGAAGCGCUUGCUCGAAAUAUUUCCACUCCGAUCGAUCCGCAAGAUGGAGCUCCACGGCGGCGACCCGGACCUCUGCUAUGGCCUGGACGUGGAUCUUGUGGGAGACAACGAUGAGGCCUGGGCGAGGCGGUCGUCCAGGAUCACGAGGAUUUCAGCGACGACGACAUGGACGUGGACGAGCUGGAGAAGAGGAUUUGGAACGAUCGGCUGCGGCUCAAGCGGAUCAAGGACAAGCAAAAGGCCAGGGUCAACAACGCAUUCUCCUCGAAUCACUCGAAUCACAGCCAUGGGCAGCAGCAGCAGCAGCAGCAUCACGGCGGCCCAGCAGCGCAGCACCAGAAUCUGGGCAAUCUCCAGGAGCAAGCCCGGCGGAAGAUGUUGCGAGCCCAGGACGGGAUCCUCAAGUACACGCUCAAGAUGAUGGAGGUCUGCAAAGCCCAAGGAUUCGUCUAUGGCAUCAUCCCCGAGAAGGGCAAGCCAGUGAGCGGCGCCAGCAACAACAACCGCGUGAUGGAAGGAGAAGGUCCGCUUCGAUCGGAACGGCCCCGCCGCCAUGGCCAAGUACGAGGGCAUCUGCUCCAGAUCCGGCGGCGGCGCUGGCCAGCUCUCCGCCGCCGCCCCGACGCCACACACUUUCCAGGAGCUCCAGGACACCACGCAAUGCAGCACUGCGAUCCACCCCAGCGGAGGUACCCGCUGGAGAAAGGGGUGGCGCCGCCGUGGUGGCCGAGCGGCGACGAGGAGUGGUGGCCCGAGCUUGGGCUUCCAAAGGGGCAGGGGCCGCCGCCGUAUAAGAAGCCCCAUGAUCUCAAGAAGGUGUGGAAGGUUGGAGUUGUCACUGCGGUAAUCCGACACAUGUCCCCGGAUAUCGGGAAGAUCAGGAAGCUCGUGAGGCAGUCCAAGUGCUUGCAAGACAAGAUGACUGCCAAGGAGAGCGGGACGUGGAUCUCGGUGCUCAACCAGGAGGGCAGUGCUCGGGGAAUUUGAUCGGGCAGCAGCAGCAGCAGCAGAGCCACCACCACCAUCACCAUAGCCAGGUGAUUGUGAUGAGGAUAACCCUUGAGACAUUAGUAUGAGGCUGCCUUGGAUUGCUCUUCCAGGAAGAGGUCGAAGAGCAAGAAAACAAUGAGGAAGCACCGGAAUUUUGACCAAGUAUGACAGAGCUCGCGCGCUUGGGACACGGGCUUCUUGGUCUUGCUAGUGAGAACUCUUAAGUUCUUUUUCUUUCGUGAUUGAACAACAACAGUAUGAACGCUCCAGUGAUGGCGGAAUUCGAGGUAUAGAAACUCUGAAAAGGAAUUUGUGUGGAGCGACUCUUGAAUGUGAAACUUCUAUGUGAAGGGAAGAUCCCUUUACGAUUCGGCGGUAUCUCCGAAUGAGAGAGUGGUCCUCUUCGUGCGUUUCUAAGAGGCUACGAGGAUUGGGAAGGAAGACAAGUUGGAAACUAGUGAAAAGUCUAAAAAGAUUCGAGGGAUACUAUGCAUAUGCUUUUAGGGUUCUUUGCACAUUAGCUUGUAAUGGAGGGGGCGCGGCUCGCGAUCGUCUCCGAUCUCGAUGGAACAAUGGUACGCAUUGCAAUGCCUCUUCAAUGCGCUCUGGGCCGCAGAUUAUUUCCAUGACUCGCUGAAUGAGAGCGAGAACCAAACAAGGGGUGGGAUACGGCUGUUUGGAAGAGACUUCCAAGUUUCCAGAGCUUACAUUCCAGGUAGAAAAAUUCCAUAUCCUCUCUUUGAUUGUGUUUACAACGGUUUUCUCUAUCUCGUCCUGGCUUUUUUUUUUUUCUGUAGGACACAGCGACCUCACAAAGUCAGCUUCAAGCUGAAGAAGGCGGAAGCUCCUCGGGUUGUGGAGACACUGUUGAAGAGAUUGAUCAAGUGUGAGGCAAGUUUUUAGAGGAUCGUUCGAAGCUUUUGUGAUCUUUUUCUUUUUUGUUCUUCCAGUUGGAUGUAAAAAUCAUAUACAGCGGAGGACAGGAUAUGGAUGUUCUCCCUUGAGCAGCUGACAAGGGACAGCUCAUGAGGGAAGGCAGAGCUCCUCAGAAAGUUCUUGUGAUACUGAGCUCUUUGCCGUCAAAGACGUUUUUGGAGUGAUCGUAAGUUCUUGAAGUCGAUUGAUCACCCACUCACUCACUGACGAUCUCAGGUCGGGAAUGCGUUUGAAGAUCUUACGCAGUGGUACCUUGAUAGCCAAAGACAAUCCCAAGAUCUUUCGUGGCACUGAAAGAUGCGCUUCGGGAAUCUUACAAGCUAUCCGAGAGUUCAAGUUUGAUCCUUGUGUUUCGCCCAGGGAUGCCGACUUACUGAGCCAGCUCACUGUUUGAACACUUGAAAAGGCCAAUGGUAAGUUCCUCGUGUUUAGUAGUUUUGGAUGCUUGAGCAACGAAAUGGCUGGCAGGCCCCUGACUCAACGCUGGUCACUCCGUGGGGACUAGAAGACGAUCUUCGUAGAAGCGUGUCCCCUCCACGGUAUUCACAGGGGAAAGAACUUCUGUAUGUGGGUUGAUCGAAUUCGUGCGACGAAGGUUGGGGACGUUACUUGGGUUGUCAAGUUUGAUAAGUGGCAGCGAACGGGUACGUCAAGUUCUUUCUGAGUCAUAUGCAUUAUUUUAUUGCUGGUGCAUUCCAGACGAAGAGCUGAAUUAUCGCUUGACAACCGCCGUGUGUUUCAAUAUGAGGUGGCGUUCUUAUCGCUUUGUCUUGGUGGAGUUAUUCAGCUUUGCUUCUCUUACAGGAUGGCAUGCCUUAUGCGAGUGCAUUACGAAUCCACGAAACGUGGCUUGAUGGUUAUGCGGGAAGACCUUUGCUCCUAAUGUAGGAGGCACAGCCAACGAUAGGCGAAAAAAUAAGCAGGGACGAGUCAUCGUCCAGGUAAGCGUGUUAAAGUUCUCAGCUCUGGAAUCUAAUUUAGUGGAUGCUGCUGUGUGUGCAGUGGCAUACAAAUUCCAGGUUUACUGAGAUUGAUAUAUGGUGAAGGAAAACGAGGGUAUGUUUACACAUUUAUACUCAUCCAUUCAUGGUGGUUGCUGUAGAACAGGGUGACAUCAGGAUCAAAAGCGAGAAUCAAGCACACUCAGGUCGGAACGACAGGGAUCAAACUCAUCAGUAGCAACGGAGAGGUUUGUAUUCUGGAUUUAAAUCGCGUGUCUCAGCAAGCAACAGCAAAUGGAAGGAGAAAAAACCCGGCGGGUUGGGGUCCACGUCGUCAAUAAAACGAUGCGGAUCAAUGUUAAAAACCCACAGACUGGUACGUGAAAUGCUUUACAGCCAGAAGUUUUGGCUUUCUUACCGAAGAAUUGUGCAGAAUCUGGCAAGGAAAAGGAAAAGUAUAAUCGGGCCACUAAGAAGGUGGAGCAUUGCGAAUGGAAGAUAAGCUAAAAUGCAUUUAUUUUCGUUCUCUUUCUUUCUGCGUGGUAUGGCGGACUUCUCUCAGCAUAUCCCGAGCUGCAUAUCCAGUGAUUCAAAGCAAAGUUCUCACCCUUAUACCCCCCUUUGAUGAUAGUCGGGCAAUUAUCACACCACUAUUCUUCCAUGUCUUGUGUGUCUCUAGUCGACCAACCAGAGUAUAAAAUGCGACCACCACCUUCAUUGCAAACUCCCCCCGCUCCCUCUUCCUCUCGCAGAAGGAGAGAAGGCUCCAAGUUUUUGAGUGAGCAAAGGGCUCUCACCUCGAGAACUCGACAAGCUCUCUCGAUUCCAAGCUUGGCUCCUUCGGUUAUUCUUCUCCUCUUCGUCCCCUUUCAAGAGUAAGUUUUUUCUUUGCUUUCGUAGUUCUGAGCUUGCGAUUCUUUCAGUUUGGUUGCGCCAGCAAUCGGGACUCUGACGAAACAAAACGCUCCAUAAGCGUGAUUUCCAGAAAGAGUACGUGCCUCGCUUCCUUCCAUGCUUUAGAUGCUCAAAUGAUUCUUUCAUUCCCUUUCGCUCGCAUAAAUUACUCGUGUUGACAAGAAAAGAGUUGAAGUGUGUGAGAGUGUGUGUAAGUGUGUAACUUACGGCAGCUUCUUUUCAUGUAGAUUCCCCUGCAUUCCCUGUCCUUUUGUUUCCUUUUUAAGUUCCAUAGGCCAAUGGAUCGCUUGCUUCUUCUCUCCUCUUGCACUCUGCUGCGUCAGUUUCACUCGGGAAAACGUGUUCUUAUGUAAUUGUUCGCUGGCCUCGGUGAGAAACGAAGGCUUUCCCCCUUUUUUCCAGAGAUGAUCUUAAGGCGCUGUUUUCUUGUGAGAAUUGGUGGUGCUCCUCCCCAGCACAAUGCAUUUGAUGAUUCCACGCCACCAUUUGUCUCGUCAUAUGCUCACUGCCACUGUUCUUCCUCUGCUUCCAGAGCACAGGCGCCAGAAAAGUUUGAAGAGGCAUUCUGAACUUGACACCAUUUCCUCCAGGUAUUUCAUCUCUUGCUUGAUCGUUUUCUUGACGAUGUUCGCCUCAGGUAAUCCAAGCUUUCAGACAUGGUGAAGUUCCAGAAGCAGCUGGAGGGCCAGCUCGUCCCAGAGUGGCGGGUGAAGUACUGCGACUACAAGCAGCUCAAGAAAGUUGUCAAGAGAAUCAAAAACCAGAUCCUACAUACCAAGAACCAGCAGCACAAGGUGUUCGAUCCAAAUGUCUUCUCGGUUGACAAGAGCAAGCUUCAAAACUUGCUGCAAAAUCCCAGCGCCAUCCUGAGCAGCUGCUGCGAACAAUCCAUAUCCUCCGAAACGUCCAUGGAUGUUCUGGACUGUAAAGACAAAACAAAACCCUUCAAUACGAUCAGGUUGUGCACAAGACGAGAAUUGGAGAUGGCGAGGAUUUUUACGAGACGGAGCUGUUCGGAACUCGAUCGGAUCACGAAAAGAGCUUCUUUUUCGGCCUUGACGAUCAGCUCAACAAAGUGGACAAGUUUUUUAGAUGCAAGGAAGACGAGUACGAUGCUCAAGCACGGCAACUUCACAUCCAAAUGGAAGAGCUCAUCCCUAUGCAAGGUUCGUUCUAGCAGCCUCUAAUUCUGUGGCACUUAACUUGGAAUCGUUUGAUCUCUGCCAUGUUGUAGAUGACGAAUCUCAGAGCUUGAAGGGGAGCCCGGCAACAAAGGAAAGGUUCAGCGAGCAGCCAAGAUGCUCCAGACGGCCUUUGUCGAAUUUUAUCGUGGGCUUCGACUCCUAAGAAACUUCAGGUGAAUGACCUCUAUACGAUUGAUCCAUGUUCUCAAAGUGUUGAAAACUUACUUGGCAGCUCCUUGAACAUGAUGGCAUUCGUCAGGAUCCGCAAGAAAUAUGACAAGGUACUUAUGGAAAAUGGAAAAUUACUGCAGACUUCUAAAAAGGUUUUUUAAAUUUUCAGGUGACUGGAGUCUGGCAGUUAUCUCAAGAUGGUCGAAAACUCUCACUUUGCAACGUCGGACAAGGUGUGAAGAAAUUUUCCUUUGAGGGUCUUGCUGAUGGACCGCGUAGAGAGAGUGUUCACUCUGCACUUUACGAAAGGCAAAUGAAAGCAAGCCAUGGAUAUCUCAGGCCCAUACACUCUGCGAGCAAUCAUGGAAAUAUAAACUUUAUCAGGCCCAUACACUCUGCGAGCAAUCAAACUUUAUCCUGGGUAAGAGCAGGAUAUCCAUUUCAUGCAUUCGGAUCGUGGUUAUUAAUUAACCUUCUAUCACCAUUGAUGAUGCGACGCAGAGAUUGUAUACUAGUGGUUUCAUGGCAAUGGCAUUGCCUCUAGAAAAGGAAAGCACUCACCAUACCUUUGGGAAUAACUGUAAUCUAUUCAUUUAAUUUUCAGCUAGAACUUUCAGAGAUCACGGACCUUAUCGUUUCUUCUUGCUGCGCUCUUUGGAAGGUUUGGUAGCCUCCUCUUCGGCGUUGUGGUCGGCUUCAAGUCUCGCGAGCCGCAAAUCAAACAAUGCUGUUGUGAGGAUUCCUUCUUGAGACACCACUUUACCUUGUCAGCGUGUCUCUGCCAAGUCAAAUCCAUCCUUCCUGAGCUCCUGAUAGAUGCAAAGAGCAUGAAGAACGAGCGAAAGAAAACCUGCGUUGUCACCUUUCCAGUGUGUUGGGUGUGAUCGUAAGGUGCCAUUUGCCAAUACAUGAUCGUCCAAGAGAAAAAAUCUCUCAGCGUUUCUCCAGGCUGAAAGACAAAUCAAUAACAGAACAGGAAGAUGAACUACUAUCAGCACUCACCAAAAGUGUUUGUUGGGAAUCAGCCAGGCCCAGCUCGGAUCGAUCUUUAAUUUCCGUGCUUUCUGUGUCAGCUUUUUGCCUUCGCCCCUAAGAAUAGCAGCUGCCUCUUCACAGUGACUCCACUGCAUCCUAGAAUACAAAAGGAAACCGACAAGUUUUCUUACAUCCUUCUUUUUUACUACCUCGUCAUCGUCCUCUUCGUCUUUUCCUUUAUUAAUCGAUCCAGCAUCACUGUUGUCACCAUCAGUUUCGCCUUUCUCCUUACUAACUUCAAUCCACGCGCUUUGUGUUUCCUGCUUGAGACAUUAGUAUGAGGCUGGAUGAUGGCUUGAUCAUACUAACCUCAAUAAUGCUCGAAGGUCCAGCGAGGAAAGGUCGUCGUGUCACUUUUUUUUUUGCCGACUUCUUUCAUACCUCCAUACAGAAACAAAGUAUCCUUUCCAACGACCAUUCCAGCAUUUAUUCUUCCACAAGGCAACAACCUUCAAGCAGAACGCUCAACGUUGAGACGCAUUUUCCACAUUUGGAUCAACCACUUUCUUCUGCUUUGGAUGCACACUUAACCACUACACAAUCUCAGAUUGCCAUACCUUAAUCUUUAGGCUCUUUGCUCCAAAGGAUACCUGCGAGCGAUGGUGCUUAGAUAAUUUUAAAAAAAUCGACGAGAUACAAACCAUCUGGAAAGCAUAUACAUCUCGAUCAUAAAAACGCUGUGCAGGGAAUCACCUGCAAAAGCCAUUAGUUUUUCCAACGCAUGCAUUGAAACCGUACUCAUCAGCAUCAACUACACCACCAAACAAGAUGUGGACAAAAAUCCUGCUCUUGGCCAGGAGCCAUACCGGAUUUUUUCACCUUCACAAAACACAUUGAAAAACUAAAACUCCAAACGAGAAUGUAAAACAAGCAAACCUUGUCCCACUCCCAAUCCGUGGAUCUAACGUCCACAUAUCUGCGAGCACUACACCUUUGUCGGAUUGAUCUUUGUCAGGGGCAGGCUCUUUGAAAUAGCCACCGUACAAGAAAAUCUAGAAAAGAAAAAAUGUUCACAACACGCAAAACUAUACUUUUAGUAGACAAAUACCUCAUCUAAAUAAACAGCAAGCUGAGAACCAGUUCCAGCUGAAGGCCAGGCAGCUCCAAGCUUGGGUUUUAUCUCUUGCCACUGCAAAAGGAAAUCAGUUUAGUUGUGAAAAAACAAGGAAGAACGAUGAGCGACAGAAACAAACCUUAUAAUCUUUCAAUCGAAUUCUUACGCACAGAGCAAUUGCAUUGUGGGGAAGGAGCUGCUACAUUCUCUUCGACAUGAAUUUCGCUCUUCUUUGCUUUCUCCUCGUGGAGUUUAGCCUGACAAGAAGGAAAACGAUUGAGAGUCUUUGGCCAGUGCUUUGCUUACCAAGAUCGCAUCAAUAUCAUCCUCGUCCCACACCUUCUUCUCGUCGCGAUGAGCUCGCUUCUCCGCCGCCUUGGCCGUCUUGCUCGAAGAACCCUAAAACCUAAAUUAACUCUUGCUUGUACUGUCCGCUUUGCUUCCAUACGAUGGCUUUGCUUCCACAGCUGGCAUAUGCUUUGCUUUUCUUCCACAGCUGGCAUACUUUCUUUAGUGCUUUGCUUCCACUGCUGGCAAGGUUCACUUUUACAAGUUUACUCGUGCUCUCCACUGCCCCUUCGAUCCAGGGCAAACUUCCAUGGAGGAGGAGUGGAUCGGCUGUUUCUCUGUCAAGGCGGUCAAGGAGGCUCUCGCAGCGAAGCGGGACAACAAGUGGCACUUCAAUGCGAUUCGGUUUUAUUGUGGGCACAUCUGGAGGCUGGAGGCGCUUGACGCAUCCAAAGGUGAGUUUGUUGAUGAGGUGAGUGCUACCGUCCAGUGGUUUGGAGGCACAGAGGAGGAUCUGAUUGGUGUGCUCAACUGGUACAUUUCAAAUCCACCGAGUUUAGACAAGGCUCUGGAUGUGGGAGAUGCUCCUGGUGAUGGCAGUUCGUCUGCUGCUGCUGCUGCUCACAUUGACAUUCUCAAGGCCGCUUUGGUACCACAGCUCGACAUCAGAUUCAUCCACUUCGCUGCCAGGGUCGCUUGUAGGUUGGGCAUUCCCAGUGAUCGAAUGCAAAGGGUGGCAGAGGGCAUUGCUCCUCCUCAGCAGGGACAGGAUAUUCGCCAGAUUGAGGUGCAGAGGUUUGCAAAGCUACUGACGAUGACAGAGGAAUUCAAGGUCUUGAAAGUGCUAGUAUUCCAUUGGGUAGGCGCAGACAUCCUCACACCACCUCAGGAGCUUGAGUUGGCCUUUGCUCAGCUCGACUGCUUGACAGAGCUCUGGUUGCGCCAUGUUGGGAACCCAGAGACUCUCCUUAGCCAACUCCUUAGGAAAGCAGGAAACAACUUGAAACGUCUCGAAUUGCUGGCGAACAGGAUGACAGUGGAAGGAUUUGGGAAAUUGAGUAGGGAUCUGGCAAGUCAGGAGUGCAAGGUGGAAGAGUUAGCCAUCCUGGAUGAGGGCAUUGCCAAGGAAGGGUGGGAACAGGCAUUUCAGAAUGGCAUUUGCAAUAAGCUAGUGGCACUGCAGGCAUAUUCGUUUCCAGAGGGGGCAGGUGAAGCACUCUUCAAGGCACUCACGAGUCCAAACUGUUCGCUGCAAAGACUAUACCUAUUUUGGGGUACUGAUGCUGGAGUGUUGCCAUGGGUAUGCAAGGCUCUUCAGGAGGGCACCAGCCUGUCAGUUUUAGAUUGCCGAAGUGAGGACCUGAGCAAUGCAACGGGCCUGGGUGAGGCCCUGAGCAGCGCUAAGUGUGGCUUGAAGGAACUCAGCGUUACACUUUAUCCAGGUGAUGGUGGUGGAUGGUUGGGCAAAGCGCUACAAAAUCCCAAUUGCAAGCUGAUCAAGCUUGAUCUUCAUUGUCCUGACGAGGGAGGAGGAAUGGUCGGUGACAGCAGUCUGUGGUCAGCUCUCUCAAGUCCACAUUGUAAGCUGCGCCAUUUGAAAAUAUGGGGUAGCACGGGAGAAGAUGAGUUAACGUUGGAGUUUGCUAAGGGCAUAGAGAAGAGCCAACUGGAGCAUUUGAGUAUAAGGAACUGCAAAAUCACGAAUGAGGAGCUCUUUUGGAAAGCUAUCACCAGCUGCAAGUCUCUGAAAGCUUUGUCAUGUGACUCGGAGCUGCCAUGGAGGUGCCUUUUGGGAAGCAGCAUUGAAGACUUACAUAUUCGAUUUAAGUCAGAAUUUGAAAAGCUGGAAGAGCUUUGCCAGUUCCUGGGGGAUCCAAAAUGCAAGGUGCGCAGAUUCAGGGCUCCUUAUCUUAGAAGUGAUGCACAGAAGAGACAAAUUCUGGCUGCCCUGGAGGAAAACUACCAAAGCCUCGUGGAAGAGCUUGAUAUAGGCAAUGAUUCCGAAGCUUCUGAAGCUUUCAAGCAGAGGUGUUCUGGUCUUUUAGAGCGGAAUGCAAUCUUCCAGCAGAGUGCAUUCAAAGACUUUGACAACCCGUCAACAGCAAAGCUCUUCUUGUGUGGUGCUAGCAGGGUUGGAAAGACCACAAUAAAAAAAAACCUCUGCCGCAGAGUGUCUUGGUUUCCAUCAUGUCUCCAAAGGCAUGCUUCAACAGCAGGCAUUGAGCUGCAACCACUUGUCUAUGCGACCACCAAACAAAAGUUGCUCAUUUGCGACCUGGCUGGACAGGAAGAGUUCCAUGCUUUCCACCAGUACUUUCUCAGAGGAAGUGAGAAGGAUCUCUUCUUGAUCGUAUGCAAGGUGGAGGAUGACAAUUGUGACGUUUUCAAGCAGAAUUUGGUUUACUGGCUGAGGUUCAUUGCUUCACAUCAAUCAGCCUCACCCAAAAGGAAGCCCAGGGUCUUGAUUGCCUUGAAUUUUUUCACUCGAAAAUCCAGCUAUGACCCAAAGGAGGUGGUUUCUGCAAUAAUCUCCGACAAAGGCUAUCGGCAAGUACUUGAGUUUGGGAAUGACUUUUGUUUUAAGGUGGUGGCCACUCAAGUGAAAGAUUUAAGGGGGAUAAAAACCAUGUUGGGGAGUUGCUUGGAAGAACUGUUGUCAGCCCAGCAACAAAUGCCACGGGAAUGUCUCAAAGCAAAGGGGAAACUGGUACAAAGUGCAAGUCACAACAAGGUCAUACCCCUAGAUAAGGUUGGCAAAAUCCUCUUGCCUAACAUCAGUUCCAAAAACAUAGAAGCCAGAAAGAACGUUGUUAAAUUCGUCUUGCAAUUUCUACAUGAUUGUGGAGAUGCAAUUUACUUUGGCUUGGGACAUGAAGAGGGUGACAUUGUGUCUCAAUUUGUCAUCUUAGAUGUCCAAUGGUUUAUGAGGGAUGUGGUGCAACUCUUCAUACCUACAGAGAAGACUAGCAAACUCAAAAGUCAAAUGGAUACACACCAAGUUAAAUAUCAAUUGCAAGAACAAUGUGGGAACCAAGACAAAAUAGUGGAGUGCAUUCUUGGAGUGCUCCAUGAGAUGGGAGUGAUAUUGCCUUGGGAUGAUACAUGGGAUGGGAAUUGGCAUAACUUGCCCAAAGAGUUAAUAAUGCCAACACUAUUGCAAGAAGAAUAUUCACCUCCAGAAUAUUUAUUAUUGCCAUCAGUGCCAAUUGACACUCAAAAAAACCACAACUACUGGGGCAGGAGGUUUGAAUGCAAAGACAAGGACUUGAAAUUGUUUCCUGCAAGUAUUUUCACAAAGAUCCAAGUUAAACUUUACAAAUUAAGCAAGCAAGGUAUUAGGCUUGGGAAUGGAUGGGUGGCUUUGAAAGAAAACCUUAUCGAGACAAUUGUGAGAGUUGGGGGAGACACAAACAAUUGGAAAGAUAGGCAAUGGGUUGAUGUCAUCAUUUAUUACCCAAAAGAGGUAGAGAAUGCACCAAGGCCAGAUUUGGAAAAAGAAGCUGAAGGAUGGAUGGAAAAAAUUAGAAAUUGCAUUAUUGGGGUAUGUAUGGAGGAUUGCCCAUUUUUGGAAAUUGAAGAAAAUGUGAUAAGGCGUGGUUAUGUGUGGAGAAGGAUACUAAAUAAGGUAGGUAAACCAAAAUCAUGGGAUGCAGUUAUUUGUCCACUAAAGCAAAUCAAAUAUGAAGCAAGAGAAAGAGGUUUAGACUACUCCCACACUUUGGAAUUAUUCACAUGAAGCAGAGAGUUGGGAUGUGAUUAGCGAUUUGAAGGUCUCAGAUGAGAAUGCUUUGGCUAAGCUAUUGAUGCCUAAUGAGCAAAAACAUGAAGUGGUGAAUAAGUUUGUUGAACUUCAUGAACUCUUGAAGGACUAUGAGGAGGUUGGAGAAGUCACAAUUCCAAGGCAUCAUCAGAUGUUGUUGAGUUUCCAAACAUUGAAGACCCAAAACUUGAUGCAAUCCUCAGAUAUAUUAAGAAGAUGUUUGAUAAAAUGGAGAACCGUUUUAACAAGUUGGAUACAAAACUUAAUGACAUUGAAGUAAGCGUUAACGAGCUCAAGAAUGGAAUCAAGUUUAUCAUGGAUAAAGUGAAUGCAAUCCAUACAACGUGUUUUCAAGUAUUAUUGAAAUUGGAGACAGAUUGCCCAAAAUAUCCAUAUAUUCUUGAUGAGAAUAAUAGGUGGAAAAAUUAUAGCAAAAUACUGGGAACACAUAGUAGACUUCACUACUUGUGUGAAUGGCCUGGAGGAACUUAUACUCAGGGAAUUAAAGGUCAUCAAGUGAAAAAUUCUGUAAGUGUUGAAUUGGAUCUCCCACCAAACUACAUUGAUCCUAUUAUUUAUUGGGGCCAAAGUUUGAGGACAUUUUGCUGGUGUUGGAGAGAUAGCGAAUGCAAUAUUAGACGAAAUCAAGGGAAGCCUCAUAAGCUUUUUGGAUUCAUGUCUUCUCAAAAGCAAGUUAACUACAAAUCCCAAAGCAGAAGAUGUGCAAGAGAUAUUUAAGCUAGUGACAACUAAAUUUGGGAAAGAAGAAAAAUGGGAGACAAUCAUGGAAAAUUAUUUUGCUCUUUAUCCCAAAAUCUUGGAGGGAAAACAAAUAUGGGUUUGCAAAGGUAUUUAGCAUUUAAGUUUUUUGUUUUAUUUAACAAAUACCAUUCUAAAGCAGAUCAUCAAUCUAUAAUUUUAUAAAAUGGUCUAGCAAAACGAAGGUAAAUAAAUAUGCUUUAUAUAGUUAUUACUAUAUAUCUUUGGUAUGAUUCAGGUAUAUUUUGUAGCUGAAGUUAAUGAGGUAAGUUUGUAUUAUAGCUCCAAAUUAUUCUUUCCUGUUUAUUUUAAUGUUUCAAGUUUAUUUCAGUGUUGAAUAUUUAAUAUUUUAAGUGAAGGAAAAGCUACCAAAUAUUUUAUUUUUUAUCCCAUAAUUUGGAUGAUAAAACAAUAUAUAUUUACAAAGGUAUUUUAUAUUGAAAUAUAUCCAUGCUUUUAGUUUUAUCUAACAGAGGCUAUGUAGGGCAUUUAAAGUAAAUCAUUAAUUAUAUAUUUUGCUCUUCAUCCCAUAAUCCUGGAUGAAAGUAAAAUAUGGAUCUGCAAAGGUAUUUCACAUUUAAGUUUUUAGUUUUAUCUAACAAACACCAUUCUAAAGCAGAUCAUCAAUAUAUAUUUUUACGAGGUAGUUUGGAAAGAUGAAGAUAAAUGAACAUACUUUAUAUAAUUAUUACUAUAUGUCUUUGGAAUGAUUGGGCUAUAUUUUGUAAGAAAAGUUGAUGAAGUAAGUUUACAUUAUUGCUCUAAAAUAUUAUUUCAUGUUUAUUCUAAUGUUUCAAGUUUAUUUCAGUGUUGAAUUUUUAAUAAUCAAAGUGAAGGAAAAACUCAUCAAAUGAUUUCAUAUUAAUGACAUUUCAAUAUGAAAACUAAAAUUGUGAAAGAAAUUGACCAAAAGACAAUCAUGGCCAAAUAUUUUAAUAUCCAUCCUAUAACCUUGGAUUAUAAAACAGUAUGGAUUUACAAAGGUAUUUUACAUUGAAAUAUAUCUAUGAUUUUAGUUUUAUUUAACAAAGACUAUGUAGGGCAUUUAAAAUAAAUAAUUGAUUAUAUUGAUUUUUGAGAUUAUUUGGCAAGGCAAUGAUUAAUCAAAUGUCCUCUAUAUUGUUAUAGAUAUGGCAGAAUGUUAUUUUUACUAUGAUUAUGCUACAUUUCCUGAUAUAAGUUGAUGAGGUAUCUUUGCAUAUUGCUCUAAAAUAAUUUUUAUAUUUAUUCUGAUGUUUCAGUAUUGAAUGCUUUAAAAAAAAGCUACUCAGAUGAUUUUAUGUUAGCGGCAUUUUUUAUUUUGGCAUCUUUGGUAAGAAAAAUUUAGGAAUGAAGUUAAUUAACAUUAAUAAACCUUUUAAGGUAAUGCAUUUCAAAACUAAAUACAAGUGCUUAAUUGUUAUUUAUCAUCACAUACUGUAAAAGAUAACUUUAUAUUAUCUUUACCAACUUCAACUUAUUCUUUAAAUUAAUGUUUAGCUAAAAUAUGUUACAAACUACAGAUUAAAGACUUAUGAAAAUUGUCAUUGUUCACAAUUCCAUUUACUUGCUAAACUCUAUAUAGAAAUUUAUUUACUCUCCUCAAUUACAUAUAUAUGCCAUCUCAUAAAACCAAACACUGUAUUGUACUCUAACUAUUGUAAGCAAGUGUUUGAAUGACAAUAAUUUAACAGCAAAAGGUUUUUGAGUGUCUGUAGACAUCUUUUACAAAAUACAAAAUAUGUAUUAAACAAAACUUAUAAUUAUUUUAAAAAUAAAGUAUAAAAAUAUUUUUUACUAUGAAAUCAUUUGAAACACAUCAAGUGUUACUUCAGAGUAGCUCUAAUAAAAAUGCUUUCUAAAUAGUUAUUUUGAACAUUCUAGUAAAUAUUUCAUUUUUAAAAGGUUGUUUAAUUUUAAAUUGUUAUCUUUUUUGCUAGGUUCUUUACAAAGUUUAACUUAUAUUAUUUAUGGCACUAUAAUCUCCUGAAUCUAGGCUUUCUAGAAGGUCAUCUAACCCAAUACUAUUUAAAGAUGCUUAAUCUCAAAUAACCUAUGAUUUAUAACUAAUUGGAACAAAGGGUACAUUUUUAUAUUUAAAAAAAUAUUAAUAAUUUUUUAAGUUAUUAUUUUUGGUUGUUUACAAUCCAUCAUGGUUUUUUGCAAGUUUACGCUUUCAUAAAUGGAAGUUGAAAGUUGCGGCUCUUCUAAGAGCCCUGCUCUUUUAACACCCUACCCCUUGAGUUGAAAUUGGAGUAAACUAAACUUAUUAAAUAUUAAUCUUGACAUGUGGUGUUAAUCAAUUAAUAGAGUCACACCUUAUACUUCUCUAAUACCAAAUAUAAUUUUUUAAAUUUGGACUUCAUAAAAGGUUAUUUAGCCAUUUGGGUAUCCAAAAGUGGAAUUAAACACAUAGAGCAUUUAGACCAAUUACAAAGUUGAUGUGGUUACAAAAACUCAUCUUAAAGUUAGCAAACACCCAAAUUAAUAUUAGGGCUUAUAGAGAUUAUGAGUGAGACUCCUUUAAAUGAUCCUAAAGUAAAAAAAAAUUAAUCAUUUAUAAAGAUGCCGAAAGCAUGGUGAUGGUUGCGAUCACCACUACUAUAACAAAAAUGACAAGCUAUAAUUAUAGUAUACUCCUAUUUACAUUUCCUUGAUAAACAUUUAUGACAUGCAAAAAUUCAAAAAUAAACUUUAUCGAAACCUUUGCAAACUCAACCAAGUUUAUAAGCUAAAUGAAGAAGUUUGGCUUAAAGAUGUUUGCAUAAGCUCACUCCCAAUCUUUAUCUCAUUUUUGUUUAGAGAACAAACAUCUUAAUCAUUUAUUAUACCUUGUAAAUUGGCAAAAAAAAGCUUCAAAUUAUCAUUAAUAUACUGGUUUAUAUGUUUUUCUCAAAUUUUUGGGCUAGUAUUUAGUAUUGGGUUGCUAAGAUUUCAUGUUAAGCUAAGUAAUUUCUCAAGAGAAAAAUUUAAGUGAAUUUGAAAUAAACUCUUUUUAGACAAUAACUUACAAAAGAAGAAAGGGUAAGUCACUAUAUUAUUUAGAUAUGGAACUUGUUAAAGAGGAUCAGCUUGAUAAAAAAUAUAUGUAUUGAUUGAGUGGAGCUAAAUUAUUAAGCAAAGAUGAACAUUUGGCUAAAGCUUUGAUUUAUUAAUGAUUUUGUCGAGAUUGGGCAAAAUGUUAUUAUAAAUUUAUAGUUCAUUUUGUAAGUGAUUGGAUUAAUCUUUGUUGAUCUUUACAGUUGGACAAUCUCAAAAGUUUCCUCUUUUGCUUUUGAAGGAGAGCUUUGUUAGUGCUUGUACAAGUAAGUUGAGUAAAACAAUCCAAACACGAAAGGAAUCCACCUAACCGCUGCCAGGGGUAUAAAAAAAUUAUAGCUUUUCUUAUAAUUAUUUUUAGCUAUGCAUCAUUUACAAAACUUACACUCUACAAAUCUCACUCGCAAGAGGUUAUUUACUAUAUCACCAAAGUUGUUAGUAACCUUGUGUAAAAUUGAUAGCUUCUCCUUAAAUAUUAACAAUGGAUUGUAUUUCAUUUUCAUAUCCAAUAUGGAAACAUUUAUGGAUGCCUUGUGGUACUAAAUAUUUACCAAGUGACCACUUAAUUUUAGAUUCAAUGUUUGUAUUACAAAGAAAAAAAAGCAAGAGAAGGAAUACUUGGAUUUUAUGCUCUAAAAAUAAUAAGAGUGAGAGUAGCACCUUUGGACUAACUAAAAUAUCCAAACCAAAUAACCCUUGAGAUUCAUAGAUUGUCCUUGAAAGCCAAGAUAUCAACAAAAAGUAGUGAUCACAAGAAUAAUAGGAUAAAUGGUUGCAUUUGAAAUGUUGGAGAUGAGUUGAGAUUAUAUUCUCAAAAUAAAUAUUAUAAAUAGAGGAUGUUAUUACUAUAGAUUUGCAUGUUUUGCAAAGGUGAUACAUACUUGUAUGACAUUUCUCCAAGAAAACUAUAAAUAAUAUCUAAAGAGUUUUGAGAAAAAAUUUAUCUUUCACAUUUGUAGUUUCCAAGUAUCAUGUAUGUUGUAUUUACAUUGUUUCCUAUAAAAGCCAUAUUUUCAAAAUUGUGAAUAAAAGUAGUAAGCCAUUGUUUUUUAAGAGAACAAUUCCUUGGAAAGCAAUAUCUAAAGCAAACUGUUGAUAAUUAUCAUUACAUCUCUAAGUGAUGAAUAUCGUUAAGUGUUUGGAUUGCCAUUGAAUAAUCUAAGCCACAUUUUGGUUGUAAUGAGAUCGGAUAUUAUAUGGUUAAGGUUAACUUUGGUGAUAUUUCCAACUUGAAGUGUUGACUUCUCAUGAUUGUCAAGAAAAAGUUUUAAAUUUAUUAAUUUAAAAUAAUCUUGGUAAAACUUUAGAAGUUGGUCCCAAAAUUAAUAUUGAAACCUCCAACAAUUCUAAUUAUCAUAUUUUUACCUAUAACAUGGAAUCAACAACUGCAUCUUUAACUAAAGGAGUAUAUAUUGCACCCUUCAAAAAAAGUGAAGAACAUCAUAAUCAAAAACUAUAUAUUUAACAAGAAGUAAAAGAAUGAUUUUUCUCGAGGAGAGAAAUGAAUAAAUUUAUUGCAUCCCCACCUAUUUUAUAUUAUAUCUGUGAGCAAAUUUUGAUUAGCACAAGUUAAGAAAACUAUUCACUUGGUUGUAAUAGCACAUCACACUGCUCACUUAGCCAUCUUAAAUGUAACUUUGGAAAAAUAGGUUAUAAGAGUUUAUCAAGUUUUAUUCACUCAUCUAUGAAAAACUUACGAGUGAAAGCAUUUCACUCACUACAUAUUGAAAAGCAAAGAAAAAUGCUGAAAGGAAGAGAGAGAAGUUGAAAUUAUACCUUUGCAUUGACGUAAUUAUAAACUCUUAAAUUUGAAAUUCCCGGGAAGUCACCCAACCCAGAGAUACUUAACCCUAAAUAUCCCAAGACCUUUAACCAAUUGGAAAAAUAAAUACACUUGGAAAAUAAAAUGUAUUUUUAUUCAUGAGUCAUUUCCCUUUAUAUUUGAACUUUAUUGAUCGUCUUUCAAGUUGUUCUCUUUAAUUGUUUAUAGUAAUAUCAAUCUAUUUAUGGAUAAGCUUAUGGUUUUGUAAUUAUAGACAAAAUUCUAGAACAUGACACAAAACUUUACAUCUCUAAUCAAGUAAAAAAGUGUGGAGUUGAAUGAAGCUAUAGUGAGUAUCAACAAUGGAAAAAUUGUAGUAGCUAGAGCAAAAUUGCCAAACUCUAGUGAGUAAGAAUUUUUCUCUUGUCUUUUUCAUAUGGCAGGGUGACACUAUGCGAUUCAGAUGAAGCAUCCUCGGAAAGCCCAGGUAAAGUGGUGAAUUUCCACUUGCGUUGCAAGAAUGCCUUGAUUAUAAGCACAUCUUGCUGCUUUUCUUCAGGACUAGUACUUGUGAUCUUGCAAAUUGCAAUUAAAGUACUUCGAUUUAGUCGGGUAUAGUUGCUGCAAAACAUCCUCCUCUGCUGCCGCAGUGCAAGUGGCCAAGCAGCACAAACAUUCAUUCCCAAACACUGAUUAGUUUACUCGUUUUGAAACAUUACCAGAUAGAUAGUGUGGUGCUGGAUUCAGGGGAGGUGCUCGUAACAAUCACGAAAGUUCCAGUUUGACUCCAAACAUCUCCCGUGUGAUCUUCCACUUGCGAGCGAUGUCUUGUUCUUCAUGUAUCAAUCAAAUGGAAGGGAAGUUGCUACCUCCAAAACUCGUUUGUUUCUUCUACAACAGUGUCGAUACGAUACGCGGAGUAAAAAAGGAAGCAAUCCAAAAAGAGGAUGUCCGUAAGAUCACUACAGCUUAACCUCACUCUCGCAACUUGGCUCGGUGGUCUCUUCAUGGAGGAAUCCAUGGCAGAAAGAGAAGGAUCGUCAAGUCCGAGCUUUUGCAAACGAGGGAGCGAUCGAGCGAAACGACGGCUGCCGCACACUGUGGAUUGAUCGAUAAGUCUCUAGCUGGAGACACGGAGAAUCCACCGAGCAUCUCGACAGGAACUUUCAUGAUCAUCAUCACGCGCUUCAAGCACGGCCUAGCUUAACAUCAACGACUUUGGGCUUGGCAAAGUUCUUUAUGUCUCUCUCUCUCUCUCUCUCUCUCUCUCUUGCUGCUUGCUCGUGGAUUUUUUAACGAAUUUCUUCGUCUUUCGUGUGCUGCCGGGCUUGAGGAAAUCUGUCCGAGAAACUGGGCAUGUAUCUUGUUUCCAGUUUGGGUUGCUUCGGACGACUUUCGUGCCGGUUGCCGGAGGAAAAAGAAUUGUCAUGGAAAAAACAAUGGAACCUGUAAGCGCUCUGGACAACACGUUAGCUUGUCACAUCCUUGGCAAAAAGCUUAGACUUUGCUGGAUGAUCUGCGGCCUUGAUCUCAGGCUAAUGCCGUGCUGAUCGCAUCAGCGAGAGGAAUUUAAAGACUUUUCCAGUCGACAAGAAGUGGUGGAGUGAUCGGGCAGUGAUCCAUCGACUUCGAGCGAAACAUGACAUGGAUCGAAUCGUCCGAGUCCAAGUAGAAAAAGAAAAAGGACGAGAUGGAGAUGGAGGGAUCAAAGAAGUGGAGCGCGGUAAAGUCAAUCAAAGCCAGCGCCAUUUCUUUCUCUCCUCUCAGAUUUUUGCGCUCUCUUUCCUUCAAACUUUCUGUGUGGCUGGCAACAAAAACAAAGGCCACACAUGGGGAGCUAAAGAGGGAACAUGGACUCCCAGCGAACAAUAAAAAUAAGCAUUUUGGGGGCCCAAAACCGGACCACGGGCCGAUUCCGGAAUAUUCUCCGGCAACGAAUAUUCUAUUAUUCCUUAGGGUUAGGGCACCGCCCGAGUAAAAGGUGUUGCAAUAGAGUCAGACCAAUAAUGACACGAUGUAAAAAAGAAGAACUAUUGUCAUCCCCUUAGUUUUUGAUUUCUAGGUUUAGCUACAGUGGCGUUCUCUCUUUUAUUCUCUUUAACAAAGCCCAAUGAAUGGAGUUUCAAAACGUCGUACCCCACGUACUAUACGAGGGGUUGGUUGUCACGUAGAGGUGAUCAUGAGGAAGCACUACCAAGGAUUGGAGGCGUAUAAUAAACUAGAGAGAAGCGUAUGGUAGCGGUGGAGGCGUGGAGUGUACGGUGGCGGGUUCGAGUCCGCCGGUCCGUGGCUCGCGGCGCGGCAUCCGCUGGUCCGGGCCCAGUGGUCCAUUUUAUGACCCAAACUGGAUUCCGACAAAAACCGGUUAGCUUAAAUUAGAGGCAGAUAGCCAAGUUGGCGCCAAGUCCGCGGUGGCUGGAAUGUAUAUCCAGAUGUAGCUGUGCCACGUGUCAAAAGGUCAAUUCCCGACCUGGGUGGAAUUGUACGUCAUUUAGCUAUUAGCUAGUAGAUGGCUAUGGCGAGGAGCGGCGCCUUUGCUCUUCUCUCUCUCUCGCCGAGCAAAGCGGGGAUCUUGAUGCGCUAGGGCAUCGAUUCUCGUUGAUCGUGUUGGCAGCGCCUCGCAGCGGUGGCGGCAUUGGGAUUGUGACGCUUGCCCGGGCAAUGUGUCGAAUUUGAAGGCGCUGCGCCACUGUGUCACGGGCGCGAUCGGCGAGCGCAGCGCGCGUCGACGGGGCAUCGAUGGAGCUAGGUAAUCACACAAGGGGCUCGCGUUGAAUCGAGCUUUUUCCUUCUUUCUCUCUGCUUCCCGUGAUCUUCCUCGCUUUUCCCAUUCGAUCCUCGGCUUUCCAUGGCGAAUUGGAGGUAAUCGCUCCGAAAUAUUCCCUCCUGUCGGAAGCGCUUGCUCGAAAUAUUUCCACUCCGAUCGAUCCGCAAGAUGGAGCUCCACGGCGGCGACCCGGACCUCUGCUAUGGCCUGGACGUGGAUCUUGUGGGAGACAACGAUGAGGCCUGGGCGAGGCGGUCGUCCAGGAUCACGAGGAUUUCAGCGACGACGACAUGGACGUGGACGAGCUGGAGAAGAGGAUUUGGAACGAUCGGCUGCGGCUCAAGCGGAUCAAGGACAAGCAAAAGGCCAGGGUCAACAACGCAUUCUCCUCGAAUCACUCGAAUCACAGCAGCCAUGCGCAGCCGCAGCAGCAGCAGCAUCACGGCGGCCCAGCAGCGCAGCACCAGAAUCUGGGCAAUCUCCCCAAGCACAAGCAAUCCCAGGAGCAAGCCCGGCGGAAGAUGUUGCGAGCCCAGGACGGGAUCCUCAAGUACACUCUCAAGAUGAUGGAGGUCUGCAAAGCCCAAGGAUUCGUCUAUGGUAUCAUCCCCGAGAAGGGCAAGCCAGUGAGCGGCGCCAGCGACAACAUCCGCGCGUGGUGGAAGGAGAAGGUCCGCUUCGAUCGGAACGGCCCCGCCGCCAUGGCCAAGUACGAGGCGGAGCACGGCAUCUGCUCCAGAUCCGGCGGAGGCGCUGGCCAGCUCUCCGCCGCCACCCCGACGCCACACACUCUCCAGGAGCUCCAGGACACCACCCUCGGAUCGCUUCUCUCGGCGCUAAUGCAGCACUGCGAUCCACCCCAGCGGAGGUACCCGCUGGAGAAAGGGGUGGCGCCGCCGUGGUGGCCGAGCGGCGACGAGGAGUGGUGGCCCGAGCUUGGGCUUCCAAAGGGGCAGGGGCCGCCGCCGUAUAAGAAGCCCCAUGAUCUCAAGAAGGUGUGGAAGGUUGGAGUUCUCACUGCGGUGAUCCGACACAUGUCCCCGGAUAUCGAAGAUCAGGAAGCUCGUGAGGCAGUCCAAGUGCGACUGCCAAGGAGAGCGCGACGUGGAUCUCGGUGCUCAACCAGGAGGAGGCGCUGGCGAGGCAGUGGAAUUUGAUCGGGCAGCAGCAGCAGCAGCAGAGCCACCACCACCGCCAUAACCAGGUGAUUGUGAUGAGGAUAACCCUUGAGACAUUGCCUUGGAUUGCUCUUCCAGGAAGAGGUCGAAGAGCAAGAAAACAAUGAGGAAGCACCAGACAGAUCCAUUCGAGGUAUAGAAACUCUGAGAAGGAAUUUGUGUGGAGCGACUCUUGAAUGUUCUUUGCAGAUUUCUAUGUGAACGGAAGAUCCCUUUUACGAUUCGGCGGUAUCUCCGAAUGAGAGAGUGGUCCUCUUCGUGCGUUUCUAAGAGGCUACGAGAUUGGGGAGGAUUCUUGGAAGAGACAAGUUGGAAACUAGAGAAAAAUCUCAAAAGAUUCGUGGGAUACUAUGCAUAUGCUUUUAGGGUUCUUUGUAGAUUAGCUAAAGGAGAAAAUUCGCUAGGGUUUUCUUUCAUUUGUAAUGGCAGGGGCGCGGCUCGCGAUCGUCUCCGAUCUUGAUGGAACAAUGGUACGCACCGCUCGUUUCUUCUUCGAUGCGCUCUGGGCCGCGGAUUAUUUCCAUGACUCGCUUCUGGUGUUCUCGACUGGAAUAUCGCCGACGAUGUAUCGCCUGCUGAGGCGGGAGAGGCCGCUGCUCACGCCGGAGGUCACGAUCUUGUCUGUGGGGUACGGCGAUGCCAUGGUUCCAGAUUCUGGAUGAGAGCAAGAACUAAACAAGGGGUGGGAUAGGGCUGUUUGGAAGAGACUUCCAAGUUUCCAGAGCUUACAUUCCAGGUAGAAAAAUUCCAUAUCCUCUCUUUGAUGCUGUUUACAACGUUUUUCUCUAUCUCGUGCUGGCUUUUUUUAUUUUUUUCCUGUAGGAACAAACAGAACAGCGACCUCACAAAGUCAGCUUCAAGCUGAAGAAGGCAGAGGCUCCUCGGGUUGUGGAGACACUGUUGAAUUGAUUGAUCGAGUGUGGGCCAAGUUUUUAGAGGAUCGUUCGAAGCUUUCGUGAUCUAAUCCUUUUUCUUUUUUGUUCUUCCAGUUGGAUGUAAAAAUCAUAUACAGCGGAGGACAGGAUAUGCUUGAGCAGCUGACAAGGGACAGCUCAUGAGGGAAGGCAGAGCUCCUCAGAAAGUUCUUGUGAUGCUGAGCUCUUUGCCGUCAAAGACGUUUUUGGAGUGAUCGUAAGUUCUUGAAGUCGAUUGAUCACCCACUCACUCACUGACGAUCUCAGGUCGGGAAUGCGUUUGAAGAUCUUACGCAGUGGUACCUUGAUAAUGCCAAAGACAAUCCCAAGAUCUUUCGUGGCACUGAAAGAUGCGCUUCGGGAAUCUUACAAGCUAUCCGAGAGUUCAAGUUUGAUCCUUGUGUUUCGCCCAGGGAUGCCGACUUACUGAGCCAGCUCACUGCUGGGGACACCGAAGGGUUGAUCGGACGUGGAGUGGUGCUACUGUGUGAGAUGGUUACGAGGCGAGGUUGAAAGCUCCCACGAGGUGUUUGAACACUUGAAAAGGCCAAUGGUAAGUUCCCCGUGUUUAGUAGUUUUGGAUGCUUGAGCAACGAAAUGGCUGGCAGGCCCCUGACUCAACGCUGGUCACUCCGUGGGGACUAGAAGACGAUCUUCGUACAAGCGUUGAGAUUCUACGUCCCUCCACGGUAUUCACAGGGGAAAGAACUUCUGUAUGUGGGUUGAUCGAAUUCGUGCGACGAAGGUUGGGGACGUUACUUGGGUUGUCAAGUUUGAUAACUGGCAGCGAACGGGUACGUUAAGUUCUUCUUUCUGAUGCAUUAUUUUCUUGCUGGUGCAUUCCAGACGAAGAGCUGAAUUAUCGCUUGACAACCGCCGUGUGUUUCAAUAUAAGGUGGCGUUCUUAUCGCUUUGUUUUGGUGGAGUUAUUCAGCUUUGCUUCUCUUACAGGAUGACAUGCCUUAUGCGAGUGUAUUACGAAUCCACGAAACGUGGCUUGAUGGUUAUGCGGGAAGAUCUUUGGUCCUAAUGUAGGAGGCACAGCCAACGGUAGGCGAAAAAAUAAGCAGGGACGAGUCAUCGUCCAGGUAACCAAAUAUAUUCCAGGUUUGCUGAGAUUGAUAUAUGGUGAAGAAAAACGAGACAAAUGCGCACUCAGUGAUGGAGCCCGUAGUGCGACGAUCCAUGGUCGAGGUCGACUUACAACGCGUUGAUAAGUUCUACACUUAAUGGAAUGGCAUGUGGAUCCAAACGCACACGCGUGAUCGACAUUUGCGACAAGACGAGGGUAUGUUUACGCAUUUAUACUCAUUCAUUCAUGGUGUAGAACAGGGUGACAUCAGGAUCAAAAGCGAGAAUAAGAUACACUCAGGUCGGAACGACAGGGAUCAAACUCAUCAGUAGCAACGGAGAGGUUUGUAUUCUGGAUUUAAAUCGCGUCUCUCAGCAAGCUUUCGAUGAACAGCAAAUGGAAGGAGAAAAAACCCGGCGGGUUGGGGUCCACGUCGUCAACAAAACGAUGCGGAUCAAUGUUAAAAACCCACAGACUGGUACGUGCAAUGCUUUACAGCCAGAAGUUUUGGCUUUCUUAGCGAAGAAUCGUGCAGAAUCUGGCAAGGAAAAGGAAAAGUAUAAUCGGGCCACUAACAAGGUGGAGCAUCGCGAAUGGAAGAUAAGCUAAAAUGCAUUUAUUUUCGUUCUCUUUCUUUCUCCGUGGUAUGGGGGACUUCUCUCAGCAUAUCCCGAGCUGCAUAUCCAGUGAUUCAAAGCAAAGUUCUCACCCUUAUACCCCUCUUUGAUGAUAGUCGGGCAAUUAUCACACCACUAUUCUUCCAUGUCUUGUGUGUCUCUAGUCGGCCAACCAGAGUAUAAAAUGCGACCACCACCUUCAUUGCAAACUCCCCCUGCUCCCUCUUCCUCUCGCAGAAGGAGAGAAGGCUCCAAGUUUUUGAGUGAGCAAAGGGCUCUCACCUCGAGAACUCGACAAGCUCCCUCGAUUCCAAGCUUGGCUCCUUCGGUUAUUCUUCUCCUCUUCGUCCCCUUGCAAGAGUAAGUUUUUUCUUUGCUUUCGUAGUUCUGAGCUUGCGAUUCUUUCAGUUUGGUUGCGCCAGCAAUCGGGAUUCCGACGAAACAAAACGCUCCAUAAGCGUGAUUUCCAGAAAGAGUACGUGCAUCGCUUCCUUCCAUGCUUUAGAUGCUCAAAUGAUUCUUUCAUUCCCUUUCGCUCGCAUAAAUUACUCGUGUUGACAAGAAAAGAGUUGAAGUGUGUGAGAGUGUGUGUAAGUGUGUAACUUACGACAGCUUCUUUUCAUGUAGAUUCCCCUGCAUUCCCUGUCCUUUUGUUUCCUUUUUUAGUUCCAUAGGCCAAUGGAUCGCUUGCUUCUUCGCUCCUCUUGCACUCUGCUGCGUCAGUUUCUCUCAGGAAAACGUAUUCUUAUGUAAUUGUUCGCUGGCGUCGGUGAGAAACGAAGGCUUUCCCCCUUUUUUCCAGAGAUGAUCUUAAGGCGCUGUUUUCUUGUGAGAAUUGGUGCUCCUCCCCAGCACAAUGCAUUUGAUGAUUCCACGCCACCAUUUGUCUCGUCAUAUGCUCAUUGCCACUGUUCUUUUUCUGCUUCCAGAGCACAGGCGCCAGAAAAGUUUGAAGAGGCAUUCUGAACUUGACACCAUUUCCUCCAGGUAUUUCAUCUCUUGCUUGAUCGUUUUCUUGACGAUGUUCGCCUCAGGUAAUCCAAGCUUUCAGACAUGGUGAAGUUCCAGAAGCAGCUGGAGGGCCAGCUCGUCCCAGAGUGGCGGGUGAAGUACUGCGACUACAAGCAGCUCAAGAAAGUUGUCAAGAGAAUCAAAAACCAGAUCCUACACAGCAGCACAAGGUGUUCGAUCCAAAUGUCUUCUCGGAUGACAAGAGCAAGCUUCAAAACUUGCUGCAAAAUCCCAGCGCCAUCCUGAGCAGCUGCUGCGAACAAUCCAUAUCCUCGGAAACGUCCAUGGAUGUUCUGGACUGUAAAGACGAAACAAAACUCUUCAAUACGAUGAGGUUGUGCACAAGACGAGAAUUGCAGAUGGCGAGGAUUUUUAAGAGAAGGAGCUGUUUGGAACUCGAUCGGAUCACGAAAAGAACUUCUUUUUCGGCCUUGACGAUCAGCUCAACAAAGUGGACAAGUUUUUUAGAUGCAAGGAAGACGAGUACGAUGCUCAAGCACAGCAACUUCACAUCCAAAUGGAAGAGCUCAUCGUUAUGCAAGGUUUGUUAUAGCAGCCUCUAAAUCUGUAGCACUUAACUUGGAAUCGUUUGACGUCUACCAUGUUGUAGAUGACGAAUGUCAGAGCUUGAAUAACAAAGGAAAGGUUCAGCGAGCAUCCAAGAUGCUCCAGACGGCCUUUGUCGAUGCAAUCCCUCCAGGUAGUAAAGUUUAUGGACCGCGCAGAGAGAGUGUUCACUCUGCACUUUACGAAAGGCAACCGAAAGCAAGCCAGGCCCAUACACUCUGCGAGCAAUCAUGGAAAUAUAAACUUUAUCCAUUUCAUGCAUUCGGAUCGUCGUUAUUAAUUAACCUUCUAUCACCAUUGAUGAUAGGACGCAGAGAUUGUAUACUAGUAGUUUCAUGGCAAUGGCAUUGCCUCUAGAAAAGGAAAGCACUGACCAUACCUUUGGGAAUAACUGUAAUCUAUUCAUUUAAUUUUCAGCUAGAACUUUCACGGACCUUAUCGUUUCUUCUUGCUGCGCUCUUUGGAAGGUUUGGUAGCCUCCUCUUCGGCGUUGUGGUCGGCUUCAAGUCUCGCGAGCUGCAAAUCAAACAAUGCUGUUGUGAGGAUUCCUUCUUGAGACACCACUUUACCUUGUCAAGGACCGCCGGGUUUUUUCUCCUUCCAUUUGCUGUUCAUCGAAAGCUUGCUGAGAGACGCGAUUUAAAUCCACAAUACAAACCUCUCCGUUGCUACUGAUGAGUUUGAUCCCUGUCGUUCCAACCUGAGUGUGCCUGAUUCUCGCUUUUGAUCCUGAUGUCACCUUGUUCUACAGCAACCACCAUGAAUGGAUGAGUAUAAAUGUGUAAACAUACCCUCGUUUUCCUUCACCAUAUAUCAAUCUCAGUAAACCUGGAAUAUAUUUGUAUGCCACUGCACACACAGCAGCAUCCACUAAAUUAGAUUCCAGAGCUGAUAACUUUUACAUGGUCACCUGGACGAUGACAAGGACCAAAGGUCUUCCCACAUAACCAUCAAGCCACGUUUCGUGGAUUUCGUAAUACACUCGCAUAAGGUAUGCCAUCCUGUAAGAGAAGCAAAGCUGAAUAACUCCACCAAAACAAGCACUUGGACUGCCUCACGAGCUUCUGCUGCUGCUGCUGCCCGAUCAAAUUCCCCGAGCACUGCCUCGCCAGCGCCUCCUCCUGGUUGAGCACCGAGAUCCACGUCGCGCUCUCCUUGGCAGUCAUCUUGUCUUGCAAGCACUUGGACUGCCUCACGAGCUUCCUGAUCUUCCCGAUAUCCGGGGACAUGUGUCGGAUCACCGCAGUGACAACUCCAACCUUCCACACCUUCUUGAGAUCAUGGGGCUUCUUAUACGGCGGCGGCCCCUGCCCAUUUGGAAGCCCAAGCUCGGGCCACCACUCCUCGUCGCCGCUCGGCCACCACGGCGGCGCCACCCCUUUCUCCAGCGGGUACCUCCGCUGGGGUGGAUCGCAGUGCUGCAUUAGCGCCGAGAGAAGCGAUCCGAGGGUGGUGUCCUGGAGCUCCUGGAGAGUGUGUGGCGUCGGGGCGGCGGCGGAGAGCUGGCCAGCGCCGCCGCCGGAUCUGGAGCAGAUGCCCUCGUACUUGGCCAUGGCGGCGGGGCCGUUCCGAUCGAAGCGGACCUUCUCCUUCCAUCACGCGGUUGUUGUUGCUGGCGCCGCUCACUGGCUUGCCCUUCUCGGGGAUGAUGCCAUAGACGAAUCCUUGGGCUUUGCAGACCUCCAUGAGGAUCGCGUCCUGGGCUCACGACAUCUUCUUCCGCCGGGCUUGCUCCUGGGAUUGCUUGUGCUUGACGAGAUUGCCCAGAUUCUGGUGCUGCGCUGCUGGGCCGCCGUGAUGCUGCUGCUGCUGCUGCUGGCCAUGGCUGCUGUGAUUCGAGUGAUUCGAGGAGAAUGCGUUGUUGACCCUGGACUUUUGCUUGUCCUUGAUCCGCUUGAGCCGCAGCCGAUCGUUCCAAAUCCUCUCUCCAGCUCGUCCACGUCCAUGUCGUCGUCGCUGAAAUCCUCGUGAUCCUGGACGACCGCCUCGCCCAGGCCUCCAUCGUUGUCUCCCACAAGAUCCACGUCCAGGCCAUAGCAGAGAUCCGGGUCGCCGCCGUGGAGCUCCAUCUUGCGGAUCGAUCGGAGUGGAAAUAUUUCGAGCGCGCGCUGCCGAGAGGAGGGAAUAUUUCGGAGCGAUUACCUCCAAUUCGCCAUGGAUCGAAUGGGAAAGCGAGGAAGAUCACGGGAAGCAGAGAGAAAGAAGGAAAAAGCUCGAUUCAACGCGAGCCCCUUGUUGAUUACCUAGCUCCAUCGAUGCCCCGUCGACGCGCGCUGCGCUCGCCGAUGGCGCCCGUGACACAGUGGCGCAGCGCCUUCAAAUUCGACGGGCAAGCGUCACAAUCCCAAUGCCGCCACCGCUGCGAGGCGCUGCCCAACGAGAAUCGAUGCCCUAGCGCAUCAAGAUCCCCGCUUUGCUGCGAGAGAGAGAGAGAAGAGCAAAGGCGCAGCGCUCCUCGCCAUAGCCAACUACUAGCUAAUAGCUAUCCAUCCAAAUGCUGUACAAUUCCCCCCACUGCCUUUUUUACACGUGGCACAGCUACAUCUGGUGGAUGCCCUUUUCAGCCCUUCCGGCUUACGGCCAAUUUGGCUAUCUGCCUCAAAUUUAGCUAAGCGGUUUGUUGCCAGAUUUAGCAGCUCCCCGAAGCUGCCAGUUUGUCGGAAUCCAGUUUGGGUCAUAAAAUGGACCACUGGGGGACCCCGGGCUCGAACCCGGAUCAGUGGAUGCCGCUCGAGCCACGGACCGGCGGUCUCGUCGCCGGACUCGAACCCGCCACCGUACGCUCUACGCCUCCACCGCUACCAUACGCCUCUCUCUAGUUUAUUAUACGCCUCCAAUCCUUGGUAGUGCUUCCUCAUGAUCACCUCUACGUGACAACCAACCCGGCGUAGAGUACGUGGGGUACGACGUUUGAAACUCCAUUCAUUGGGCUUUGUUAAAGAGAAUAAAAGAGAGAACGCCACUGUAGCUAAACCUAGAAAUCAAAAACUAAACUACAUCGUGCCAUUAUUGGUUUGACUCUAUGGCUUAGAUGCAACACCUUUUACUCGGGCGGUGCCCUAAUCCUCGCGAAUAAUAAAAUAUUCGCUGCCGGAGAAUAUUCCGGAAUCGGCCCGUGGUGAGGUUUUGGGCCCCCCCCCAAAAUGCUUAUUUAUAUUGUUCGCUGGGAGUCCAUGUUCCCUUUUUAGCUCCCCAUGUGUGGCCUUUGUUUUUGUUGCCAGCCAAAGAAACACACAGAAAGUUUGAAGGAGAGAGAGAGAGCACAAAAAUCUGAGAGGAGAGAAAGAAAUGGCACUGGCUUUGAUUGACUUUGCCGCGCUCCACUUCUUUGAUCCCUCCAUCUCCAUCUCGUCCUUUUUCUUUUUCUACUUGGACUCGGACGAUUCGAUCCAUGUCAUGUUUCGCUCGAAGUCGAUGGAUCACUGCCCGAUCACUCCACCACUUCUUGUCGACUGGAAAAGUCUUUAAAUUCCUCUCGCUGAUGCGAUCAGCACAGCAUUAGCCUGAGAUCAAGGCCGCGGAUCAUCCAGCAAAGUCUAAGCUUUUUGCCACGGAUGUGACAAGCUAACGUGUUGUCCAGAGCGCUUACAGGUUCCAUUGUUUUUUCCAUGACAAUUCUUUUUCCUCCGGCGACCGGCACGAAAAUCGUCCGAAGCAACCCAAACUGGAAACAAGAUACAUGCCCAGUUUCUCGGACAGAUUUCCUCAAGCCCGGCAGCACACGGAAGACGAAGAAAUUCGUUAAAAAAUCCACGAGCAAGCAGCAAGAGAGAGAGAGAGAGAGAGAGAGAGACAUAAAGAACUUUGCCAAGCCCAAAGUCGUUGAUGUUAAGCUAGGCCGUGCUUGAAGCGCGUGAUGAUGAUCAUGAAAGUUCCUGUCGAGAUGCUCGGUGGAUUCUCCGUGUCUCCAGCUAGAGACUUAUCGAUCAAUCCACAGUGUGCGGCAGCCGUCGUUUUGCUCGAUCGCUCCCUCGUUUGCAAAAGCUCGGACUUGACGAUCCUUCUCUUUCUGCCAUGGAUUCCUCCAUGAAGAGACCACCGAGCCAAGUUGCGAGAGUGAGGUUAAGCUGUAGUGAUCUUACGGACAUCCUCUUUUUGGAUUGCUUCCUUUUUUACUCCUUGUAUCGUAUCGACACUGUUGUAGAAGAAACAAACGAGUUUUGGAGGUAGCAACUUCCCUUCCAUAUGAUUGAUACAUGAAGAACAAGACAUCGCUUGCAAGUGGAAGAUCACACGGGAGAUGUUUGGAGUCAAACUGGAACUUUCGUGAUUGUUACGAGCACCUCCCCUGAAUCCAGCACCACACUAUCUAUCUGGUAAUGUUUCAAAACGAGUAAACUAAUCAGUGUUUGUUGGGAAUGAAUGUUUGUGCUGCUUGGCCACUUGCACUGCGGCAGCAGAGGAGGAUGUUUUGCGGCAACUAUACCCGACUAAAUCGAAGUACUUUAAUUGCAAUUUGCAAGAUCACAAGUACUAGUCCUGAAGAAAAACAGCGAGAUGUGCUUAUAAUCAAGGCAUUGUUGCAACGCAAGUGGAAAUUCACUAUGUUUAGCUGGGCUUUCUGGGGAUGCUUCAUCUGAAUCACAUAGUGUCACCUUGCCGUAUGAAAAAGACAAGAGAAAAAUUCUUACUCACUAGAGUUUGGCAAUUUUACUUUAGCUGCUACAAUUUUUCCAUUGUUGAUACUCAUUGUAGCUUCAUUCAACUCCACACUUUUUUACUUGAUUAGAGAUGUAAAGUUUUGUGUCAAGUUCUAAAAUUUUGUCUAUAGUUACAAAACCACAAGGUUAUCCAUAAAUGGAUUGAUAUUACUAUAAACAAUUAAAGAAAACAAUUUGAAAGUCGAUCAAUAGGGUUCAAAUAUAAAAGGAAAUGGCUCAUGAAUAAAAAUACAUUUUAUUUUCCAAAUGCACUUAUUUUUCCAAUCGGUUAAAGGUUUUGGGAUAUUUGGGGUUAAGUGUCUCUAGGUUGGGUGACUUCCCGGGAAUUUCAAAUUCAAGAGUUUAUAAUUACUUCAAUGUAAAGGUAUAAUUUCAACUUCUCUUUCUUCCUUUCAGCUUCUUUUUUUUGCUUUUCAAUAUGUAGUGAGUGAAAUGCUUUCACUCGUAAGUUUUUUAUAGGUGAGUGAAUAAAAUUUGUAUAACUUACUUUUCCAAAGUUACAUUUAAGAUGGCCAAGUGAGCAGUGUGAUGUGCUCUUACAACCAAGUGAAUAGUUUCUUAACUUGUGCUAAUUAGAGUUUGCUCACAGAUAUAAUACAAAAUAAAUGGGGAUGCAAUAAAUUUAUUCAUUUCUCUCCUCGAGAUAAAUCAUUCGUUUACUUCUUGUUAAAUAUAUAAUUUUUGAUUGUGAUGUUUUUCACUUUUCUUGAAGGGUGCAACAUAUACUCCCUUAUCCAAAGAUGCAGUUGUUGAUUCCAUGUUAUAGGUAAAAAUUUGAUAAUUAGGAUUGUUGCAAGUUUCAAUAUUAAUUUUGGGACUAACUUCUAAAGUUUUACUGAGAUUAUUUUAAAUUAAUAAGUUCAAAACUUUUUUUGACAAUCAUAAGAAGUCAACACUUCAAGUUGGAAAUAUCACUAAGGUUAACCUUAACCAUAUAAUAUCCAAUCUUAUUACAACCAAAUGUGGUUUAGAUUAUUCAAUAGCAAUCCAAACAUUUAACCAUAUUCAUCACUUGGAGAUGCAAUAAUAAUUAUCAAUAGUUUGCUUUAGAUAUUGCUUUCCAAGGAAUUGUUCUCAUAAAAAACAAUGGCUUACUACUUUUAUUCACAAUCUUGAAAAUUGUGGCUCUUAUAGGAAACAAUGUAAAUACAAUAUACAGGCAUGAACUUGCAAAAAAGCAUGAUAGAUUAUAAACAACCAAAGAUAAUAACUUAAAAAAUUAUUAAUAUUGUUUCAAAUAUAGAAUUUUACCCUUUGUUCCAAUUAGUUAUAAGUCUUGAGUUAUUUGAGAUUAAGCAUCUUUAAAUAGUCUGAUUAUAGUGCCAUAAAUAAUAUAAGUUAAUGUUUGUAAAGAACCUAGCAAAAAAGAAAACAAUUUAAAAUUAAACAACCUUUUAAAAAUGAAAUAUUUACUAGAAUGUUCAAAAUAAGUAUUUAGAAAGCAUUUUCAUUAGAGCUACUCUCAAGUAACACUUGAUAUGUUGUAAAUGAUUUCAUAGUAAAAAAUAUUUUUAUACUUCAUUUUUAAAAUAAUUAUAAGUGGUGUUUAUUACAUAUUUUGUAGUUUGUAAAAGAUGUCUACAGACACUCAAAAACCUUUUGCUGUUAAAUUAUUUUCAUUCGAGCACUUGCUUAUAAUAGUUAAAGCAUAAUACAGUGUUUAGUUUUAUGGGAUGGCAUAUAUAUGUAAUUGAAAAGAGUAAACAAAUUUCUAUAUGGAGUUUAGUAAGUAAAUAGAAUUGUGAACAAUGACAAUUUUGAUAAGUCUUUAAAGUGUAGUUUAUAACAUAGUUUAGCUAAACAUUAAUUUAAAAAAUAAGUUGAAGUUAGUAAAGAUAAUAUAAAGUUAUCUCCUAUAGUAUGUGAUGAUAAAUAACAAUUAAGUACUUGUAUUUAGUUUUGAAAUGCAUUACCUCAAAAGGUUUAUUAAUGUUAAAUAACUUCAUUUGAGACACAUAAUCCCUAGGCCUAAAGUGGAGCAAAAAGGGUGCCAUGUGGUAGUGGCCGAAGUGAAAGCCAAACGAGCGUAACACGUUUGGACUAAAAGGCUCCGACUUGAAAUGUUAAGAGCGGGAGUGGAACUCCCAACGGAGUGCUCAAGGAACGAGCAUGAAGCGAGCAAUAAGCAAGGCUCCAAAAAGGGACCCAAAAAGGACUAACACAUAGUCUUUGUUAAAUAAAACUAAAAUCAUAGAUAUAUCUCAAUGUAAAAUACCUUUGUAAAUCCAUAUUGUUUUAUAAUCCAAGGUUAUAGGAUGGAUAUUAAAAUAUUUAGCCAUGAUUGUCUUUUAGUCAAUUUCUUUCACAAUUUUAGUUUUCAUAUCGAAAUGUCAUUAAUAUGAAAUCAUUUGAUUAGUUUUUCCUUCACUUGGAUUAUUAAAAAUUCAAUACUGAAAUAAACUUGAAACAUUAGAAUAAACAUGAAAUAAUAUUUUAGAGCAAUAAUGCAAACUUACCUCAUUGACUUCUAUUACAAAAUAUAGCCUAAUCAUUCCAAAGACAUAUAACAAUAACUAUAUAAAGCAUAUUUAUUUACCUUCAUCUUGCCAAAUCACCUUGUAAAAAUAUAGAUUGAUGAUCUGCUUUAGAAUGGUGUUUGUUAAAUAAAACUAAAAAUUUAAAUGUUAAAUACCUUUGCAGACCUAUAUUUUUCUUUCUUCUAGGAUUAUGAGAUGAAGAGCAAAACAUAUAAUUAAUGAUUUACUUUAAAUGCCCUACAUAGCGUUUGUUAGAUAAAACUAAAAGCAUGGAUAUAUUUCAAUAUAAAAUACCUUUGUAAAUAUAUAUUGUUUUAUCAUCCAAAGUAUGGGAUAAAAAAUAAAUUAUUUGGUAGUUUUUCCUUCAUUUAAAGCAUUAAAAAUUCAACACUGAAAUGAACUUAAAACAUUAGAAUAAACAGGAAAGAAUAAUUUGGAGUUAUAAUGCAAACUUACCUCAUUAACUUCUGCUAUAAAAUAUACCCCAAUCAUACCAAAGACAUAUAAUAAUAACUAUAUAAAGCAUAUUUAUUUACCUUAGUUUUACCAAACCACCUCAUAAAAAUUUAAAUUGAUGAUCUAUUUUAAAAUGGUGUUUGUUAGAUAAAACUAAAAACUUAAAUAUUAAAUACCUUUGCAGACUCAUAUUUUUUUUCCCUCUAAGAUUGUGAGAUGAAGAGCAAAAUAUUUUUCCAUGAUCAUCUCCUGCUUUUCUUCUUUCUCAAAUUUAGUUGUCACUAGCUUAAAUAUCUUUUGUACAUCUUCUACUUUGGGAUUUGUAGUUAGUUUGCUUUUGAGAAGAAAUGAAUCCAAAAAACUUAUGAGGCUUCCCUUGAUUUCGUCUACUAUUGCAUUCACAGUCUCUCCAACACCAGCAAAAUGUCCUCCAACUUUAGCCCCAAUAAAUAAUAGAAUCAAUGUAUAUUUAAAUACUGGAGCAAAUUUCUUGAGCCAGUUUGGUGGGAGAUCCACUUCAAUACCUUCAGAACUCUGCACUUGAUGAGCUUUAAAAGUUCCUUCAAGCUAUUCACACAAGUAGUGAAGUUUAACAUGUGUUCCCAAUAUUUUGUUGUAAUUUUUCCACCUAUUAUUCUCAUCAAGAAUAUAUGGAUAUUUUGGGCAAUCUAUCUCCAAUUUCAAUAAUACUUGCAAACACUUUGUAUGGAUUGCAUUCACUUUAUCCAUGAUAGACUUUAGUCCAUUUUUGAGCUCGUUAAGGAUUACUUCAAUGUCAUCAAGUUUUGUAUCCAACUUGUCAAAACGGUUCUCCAUUUUAUCAAACUUCUUAUCAAAAUAUCUGAAGAUUGCAUUGAGUUUUGAGUCUUCAAUAUUCGGAAACUCAACAACAUCUGAUGAUACUUUGGGAAUUGUGACUUCUCCAACCUCCUCAUAGUCCUUCAAAAAUUCAUAAAGUUCAAUAAACUUCUUUACCCCUUCAUGUUUUUGCUCGUUAGGCAUCAAUAGCUUAGCCAAAGCAUUCUCAUCUGAGACUUUCAAAUCGUUAAUCACAUCCCAACUCUCUACUUCAUGUGAAUCAUUCCAAGUGUGAGAGUAGUCUAAACCGCUUUCUCUUGCUUCACAUUUGACUUGUUUUAAUGGAUAAAUAACUGCAUCCCAUGAUUUUGGUUUGCCCACAUUAUUUAGUAUCCUUCUCCACACAUAACCAAUAUUCUUCUUGCAAUAGUGUUGGCAUUAUCAACUCUUUGGGCAAGUUAUGCCAAUUCCCAUCCCAUGUAUCAUCCCUAGGCAAUAUCACUCCCAUCUCAUGGAGCACUCCAAGAAUGUACUCCACUAUUUUGUCUUGGUUCCCACAUUGUUGCUUCAACUGAUGUUUAACUCUGUGUGUUUCCAUUUGACUUUUGAGUUUGCUUGUCUCAGUAUGUAUGAAGAGUUGCACCACAUCCCUCAUAAACCAUUGGACAUCUAAGAUGACAAAUUGAGACACAAUGUCGUCCUCUUCAUGUCCCAAGCCAAAGUAAAUUGCAUCACCAGAAUCAUGUGGAAAUUGCAAGACGAAUUUGAGAACAUUCUUGGAACUCCUGUGAGGCAAAAGGAUUUUGCCAACUUUAUCUAGGGGUAUGACCUUCUUGUGACUUGGAUCUUGUACCAAUUUCCUCUUUGCUUUGAGACAUUCCCGUGGUAUUUGUUGCUGGGCUGACAGCAGUUCUUCCAAGCAACUCCCCAACAUGGUUUUUAUCCCCCUUAAAUCUUUCACUCGAGUGGCCACCACCUCAAAACAAAGAUCUGUCCCAAACUCAAGUACUUGCCCAUAGCCUUUGUCAGAGAUUAUUGCAGAAACCACGUCCUUUGGGUCAUAGUUGCAUUUUGGAGUGAAAAAAUUCAAGGCAAUCAAGACCUUGGGCUUCCUUUUGGGUGAGGCUGAUUGAUGUGAAGCGAUGAACCUCAGCCAGUAAACCAAAUUCUGCUUGAAAACGUCACAAUUGUCAUCCUCCACCUUGCAUACGAUCAAGAAGAGAUCCUUCUCACUUCCUCUAAGAAAGUACUGGUGGAAAACAUGGAACUCUUCCUGUCCAGCCAGGUCGCAAAUGAGUAGCUUUUGUUUGGUGGUUGCAUAGACAAGUGGUUGCAGCUCAAUGCCUGCUGUUGAAGCAUGCCUUUGGAGACAUGAUGGAAACCAAGACACUCUGCGGCAGAGGUUGUUUUUUAUUGUGGUUUUUCCAACCCCGCUAGCACCACACAAGAAGAGCUUUGCUGUUGACGGGUUGUCAAAGUCUUUGAAUGCACUCUGCUGGAAGAUUGCAUUCCGCUCUAAAAGACCAGAACACCUCUGCUUGAAAGCUUCAGAAGCUUCGGAAUCAUUGCCUAUAUCAAGCUCUUCCACGAGGCUUUGGUAGUUUUCCUCCAGGGCAGCCAGAAUUUGUCUUUUCUGUGCAUCACUUCCAAGAUCAGGAGCCCUGAAUCUGCGCACCUUGCAUUUUGGAUCCCCCAGCAACUGGCAAAGAUCUUCCAGCUUUUCAAAAUUUGGCUGAGAUAUUCUCAAGUCUUCAAUGCUGCUUCCCAAAAGGCACCUCCAUGGCAGUUCCGAGUCACAUAUCAAAGAUUUCAGAUACUUGCACCUGGUGAUAGCUUUCCAAAAGAGCUCCCCAUUCGUGAUUUUGCACUCCGAUAUACCCAAAUGCUCCAGUUGGCUCUUCUCUAUGCCCUCGGCAAACUCCAACGUUAACUCAUCUUCUCCUCCCGCGCUACCCCAUAUUUCCAAAUGGCGCAGCUUACAAUGUGGACUUGAGAGAGCUGACCACAGACUGCUGUCCCAGACCAUUCCUCCUCCCUCGUUGGGACAAUCAAGGUUGAGCUUGAUCAGCUUGCAAUUGGGAUUUUGUAGCGCUUUGCCCAACCAUCCACCACCAUCACCUGGAUAAAGUCUAACGCUGAGUUCCUCCAAGCCACACUUAGCGCUGCUCAGGGCCUCACCCAGGCCCGUUGCAUUGCUCAGGUCCUCACUCUGUCUCAUUCUUCGGCAAUCUAAAACUGAGAAGCUGGUGCCCUCCUGAAGAGCCUUGCAUACCCAUGGCAACACUCCAGCAUCAGUAUCCCGAGAUAGGUCUAGUCUUUGCAGUGAACAGUUUGGACUAGUGAGUGCCUUGAAGAGUGCUUCACCUGCCUCCUCUGGAAAUGAUGCCGUCAGUUCUACUAGCUUAUUGCAAAUGCCAUUCUGAAAUGCCUGUUCCCACCCUUCCUUGCCAAUGUCCUUAUCUAGGAUGGCUAACUCUUCCACCUUGCACUCCUGACUUGCCAGAUCCCUACUCAAUUUCCCAAAUCCUUCCACUGUCAUCCUGUUCGAAGCCAAGGCGAGACGUUUCAAGUUGUUUCCUGGUUUCCUAAGGAGUUGGCUAAGGAGAGUCUCUGGGUUCCCAACCUUGUCCAACCCGAGCUCUGUCAAGCAGUCGAGCUGAGCAAAGGCCAACUCAAGCUCCUGAGGUGGUGUGAGGAUGUCUUUGCCUUCCCAAUAGAUACCUAGCCCUUUCAAGACUUUGAAUUCCUCUGUCAUCAUCAGUAGCUUUGCAAACCUCUGCACCUCAAUCUGGCCAAUAUCUUGUCCCUGCUGAGGAGGAGCAAUGCCCUCUGCCACCCUUUGCAUCCGAUCACUGGGAAUGCCCAACCUACAAGCGACCCUGGCAGCGAAGUGGAUGAAUCUGAUGUCGAGCUGUGGUACCAAAGCGGCCUUGAGAAUGUCAAUGUGAGCAGCAGCAGCAGCAGCAGACGAACUGCCAUCACCAGGAGCAUCUCCCACAUCCAGAGCCCUGUCUAAACUGGGUGGAUUUGAAAUGCACCAGUUGAGCACACCAACCAGAUCCUCCUCUGUGCCUCCAAAACUCUCGACGGUAGCACUCACCUUAUCAACAAACUCGCCUUCGGAUAGCUCCAGCCUCGAGAAAAGCCCACAAGAAAAGCCAAUCGCAUUGAAGUGCCGCUUGUUGUCCCGCUUCGCUGCGAGAGCCUCCUUGAUCUCCUUGACAGAGCCACAGCUGAUCCACACUCGUCGCUCCUCCUCCAUGGAAGUUUGCCCUGGAUCGAAGGGUAUUUACAGGUAUUCCCAGAGGUAUGGUGAGUCCUUUCUUCACUAUUGAGAGUGGCCCUGUGCCACGUGGCUAGUCCACGUGGAGAGACACGAGUCUUCACCGGUUCACCAUGUGACACAUAUGUACAUUUUCCAUUCCAUAUAUGCUAUGACGGAUCUUGAGCACCAUCACACGGUUUCACCUUUCGUUAGAUGGUAUCGGAGCAAUGCCUGGGAGAGCGCAAAGAAUACGAAACCGUAGGAUCAGGGCGACACUCGCUAGGGUGAAUCGGAGCCUCCGUCUACGUAGACAGAGGCGUGCCCUAAUCCAAGCGCUCCAGGCCUUGCAAGAGGCACUGGACGACUAAGAACCUGGACCUAGACUUGAACGAGUGGUGGGAUUGGGUGUCGGCACCCAUGGCAGCCACUGUUCCUACAAAUCCGCCUCCAAAUCCACCACCUAUUUCCCCUCCCAUCACAAAUCCGACUGUGCCUACAGCGGAUAUCAUUUCAGUGGACGCAAAUCCACCAAAAUUUGAUGGGAGGAACUGGCGCUUCUGGAAGACAAAAUUCGAAUCCUAUAUGGAUGAACGAGGCCUCUGGGACAUCACCACAGGAACUGAGACACUUCCAGAUACAGCUACAGUGGAUGAAACUGCGAAGUAUCGCAAGAAGGACCGGAGAGCUUUGGGCAAAUUCCAUGCAGCGCUGGAGGGGCGAGAAUUCCAUUGCAUUGGACGGUGCAAGAGUGCAAAGGAAGCGUGGGAGGCCAUGAAGCAGACUUACCAGAUCCCUUCAACAUCCCAUCGCAUAUUUUUACGGAAGCAGCUUCAUGCAUUGGUGAUGGUUGAAGGGGAUGAUCUCAAGGAUCAUCUUGCUGGUGUGAGAACCAUCUUAGAUGAUCUUAAGGAUGUAGGUGCAAACAUAGAGGAUGAAGAAGAAGCAGAGCUGGUGCUCGUCACACUUCCUCCAUCCUUUGAUCCUCUCAUACGUAGCCUCACUACCACUGGAACUCCUCUAACCCUGAAUGGCGUGAUCAGUAGCCUCCAGGACGAUGAUCUGAGACGAAGAGCAACAACAGGAUCAGAGGCCGUUGCAUUCUACUCUUCUCUCAGGAAAGAAACAGUGAACAAAGGGAAACAAGGAGCCUCUUCAUCCAAGAAGCCCAAGUGUUCUCAUUGCAACAAGAAAGGCCAUGACGAAGCUCAAUGCUGGGUGAAAAAUCCAUCUCUCAAGCCUGUAAGGAACAAUGCAAAGAAAAAGGUGGUACACGCCUUCAUCUUGUCACGAGCUAUGGCUGUGGCAGCACUGUCUGCAGAGUGCAUCUACCUGGAUUCUGCUGCCACAGACCAUAUGUUCAACAGUGAUAAGUACUUUGAAGCCUAUGUUCCUACAGCCACAGAGGAGUAUGUCAUCGUUGGCAAUGCCCAGCAGCUUGCUGUGAAAGGAGUUGGAACCAUCAAGUUCACUUUACCACAAGGAAUAGUCGUAAAGAUCCACGAGGUUCUUUAUAUUCCUGGUUUAUGUGCUAAUUUGUUCUCUGUGGGACAAUUUGCUGAGGAUGGGUAUCAGUUCGCCAUUACACCUCGCCAAUUCCAGCUGAUCUCGACCACAGGAGCCAUCCUCACAGCGUCCCGGCCUGGACGGCGUGACCUCUACCGCCUUACCUGUGGUAUUAUGAAACGGUGUUGUGUUAUUAUUAUGACGGUUGAUACAUGGUUAAAUGUAUGGGUUUAUCGUGACGAUCCGUGGCGGCGUCUGGAUCGCUCACGUGGCUGUGUGCUGACGUGGUCUUGUUCACUCCCACACUCCUCCUCAAGGCCAACGUCUAAGGUCAGCCCAAGUGCCUUCGUGAAGACUUCAUGUUUAACACGAGGAAGUGGUUUUGUUAGCACGUCCGCUAGCAUGGAGUUUGUCGGGCAGAACUCCAGCUCGAUCAUUCCUCUCUGGAUCUGGAGUUCUUGGUCAAAGCUAUUGCAGACUGGUUGUCACACAAUAGCUUGACCACGCCCGUGUUGAUUUGUAGAUCCUGGAGAAGUCCCUUCAGCCACGCUGCUUCCUUGGUUGCAGCUGCUGCAGCUAUGUACUCAGCCUCGGUACUCGACAUCGCUGUAAUAGCCUGUCGUUUGCUGCACCAGCUUGCGACAUUUCCAUUUAGCAGGAAAACGUAGCCUGUGGUUGACUUCCUGUUGUCUGGAUCCCCGGCCCAAUCAGCAUCAGAGUAACCAGCCAGCUUGUUGCCGCUCUCGCCUCUGGAGUACUUUAAACUUAGCUGGUUAGUCCCUGCCACGUACCUCAUAAUACGUUUCAAAGCCUGCCAGUGUGCUGUGGAGGGACGGUCCAGGUACUUCGCCACUGUUCCCACAGCAUACGCAAGGUCAGGCCGAGUGGAGAUUACCAGGUAGAUCAGGCUGCCGACCAUAGAGCGAUAGACUGCUCUAGAUGCUUUCUCCUCCUCGGGAGAUUGAUCAAGGUACUCUCCACUCUCAGCAGAUAAUUUCGUGCCUGUUUCCAUGGGAGUAGCAACCGGAUUAACAUGAGCAAGGCCAUACCUCUGGAGCACGUCGGAAACAUAUUUUGCCUGGCUUAGCUCCAGAGUGCCUCGUUCCCUGUUGCGCGUCACCUGGAUACCGAGGCAGAAAUGCAACUCACCGAGGUCUUUCAUGGCAAAUUUAGCGCCAAGGUACGUUUUAAAUUUGUGGAUCAAACGUAGCUGAUUUGCCACGAGAAUAGCAUCGUCCACAUAUAGCGCAAGGAACAAAUAGCCCUCAGCGUCAAAAUAUAUGUAGAGGUUACAAUCAGCAGCACUGCGCACGAAACCAAGGGAAAUUAGAAAAGAAUCUAUUUUCGUGUACCAUUGGUGCUUGAGUCCGUAGAGAGCUUUGUUAAGCUUGCAAACGAGGUGUUCUUCUCCAGGCUGGAUAAAACCAGGAGGCUGAGCCAUAUACACCUCUUCAUCGAUGUCGCCGUUAAGGAACGCAGUACAAACGUCAAGUUGAUGGAGCUCGAGAUCCAAUUCUGCAGCUAAGAUUAGUAGCAUACGAAUGGUUGUGAGUUUCACCACCGGGCUGUAAGUCUCCGAGUAGUCCAGCCCAUGAACUUGAGAAAAUCCGCGUGCCACAAAUCUCGCCUUGUAGCGCUCAAUGCUUCCAUCAGCGUUGUACUUUUUCUUAAACAACCACUUGGAUGAGACGAGCUUUCUGCGAGCUGGAAGUUCAACCAGCGACCAAGUGUUGUUUUUCUGGAGAGAAUCAUACUCCUCCUGCAUAGCUGCCUGCCAGUGUUCAGCUUCUGGUCCAUGUAGAGCCGCUUGGGGACCGAGAGAGGCAGGUGGAGCCGACAGAGCCCAGAAGUAGGCACGCUUUCCUAUAGGCAUCGCCUCCUUGGCUUUAAGAGAUGGUUUCACGACACGACCCGAGCGUGUCACCACUGCUGUGCCGGCUGGAGGAGGUGGUAGCUUGGGAAUGCUAGGAGGAGUGGUGGCAUCUUGAUAUAACUCGUCGCCAACGAACAGGUCAGCCACAAGCGUGGAAAGAUCUGGCUGUUCAUUGGUGCUUGAGGAUGCAGCCGCUGUGGCCUGUGGAGUCGUCAGAGGAGGUGUCGAAGGAAGAGAAGUACCGUGAUCAGCUCCUCCUGCCAGAUCGCCUCCUUCGGGCGCUCCUUCAGCAACUCCUCCUGGCUCUGCAGCGGCUGGAUUGUCUGGUGCUGGGUGGAGAUGUGGAACGUCGUCCAAAAUCUCAGAAAGAUCCACCAGAGAUGGUGGAGAAACAGGAGGGAGUCUCAGGGUAUCUCGAUAAAGACGAGCUUCAUCAAACACCACAUCUCGGCUCACCACCAGUUUCCUGCGCUGGCAGUUAUAGAGUCGAUAGGCUUUUACCUGGGUGUGAUAGCCCAUGAAGAUGCAUUUCUCGCUCUUGGGAUCCAGCUUCCGCCGCUGAACAUCGGGGAUGUGGGCGUAGGCUAUGCAACCAAACACCCUCAAGUGCCCUAACUUGGGGCGCUUCCCAGUCCAUACUUGAAACGGCACCUGUCCUGUGGAACGUGUUGGCAGCCGGUUCCGGAGGUACACUGCUGUGUUGAGUGCCUCUCCCCAAAACACCUUGGGCAUGCCAGCGUGCUGGAGAAGGCAGCGUACACAGUCCAUAAGUGUCCUGUUCAGGCGCUCGGCGACCCCAUUCUGCUGCGAGGUGUGGGCUGCGGUGUACUCGUGGUGGAUGCCAGCCUGAGCAAGAAAUGCCAGAAACUCCUUGCUCAUAUACUCACCGCCGCCAUCUGAACGUAGUGUCCGGAUGGUACAGCCAGUGGCAUUUUCUGCCCAGCUUUUGUAGACCUGGAAGUGAUGGUAGACCUCUCCCUUGUGUGCCAUGAGAACAGCCACCGCAUAGCGUGAGUAGUCGUCAAUGAACGAAACGAAGUACCGCUUGUGACUGAGAGUUGCUUCUGGCACAUGGCACACAUCCGUGUGUACCAGCUGAAGAAAUCCUGAGGCGCCAUCUUCUGGACUUCUGCGUGGAAAGGGUAGUCUUGGCUGCUUCCCCAGUUGGCACGUCUCACAUACUCCCAGUUGGCUGGCACCGGUGAGGGUAAAGUCAUCAGCAAGCUUGUGGCUAGCAAGUAGCUGGAUGUCGUGAGAAUUGGCAUGCCCUAGCCGAGCGUGCCAGAGCUGGAGAGAGUUGGCAGCCCAGGAGCUGGGGCGAAUUGCAAGCAAAUGCCCCUGCUCGUGAGUUGAGAGGAUCAACUGAGCAUUGAGCUUGUAGAGAGUCUCAGCUCGUCUACCAAAAGCUACUGGAUGGCCAGUCUCGUCAAAGAUGGUGCAUCCGUCUGCGUUGAAGAGUGUUGAGAAGCCUUGAUCUGCUGCUACACCAACUGAGAACACUGUCUGUCCUGCUUCUGGUACGUAGUAGACCUGGUUCACGAGCUUCUCAGCUCCACUCUCCAACUUUAUGACCGUUCCUUGUCCUUCCACUGUUAAGGGGCGUUUGUCUCCUACAAAGACUUGCUUCUCCUGCUCCAGUGGCCGGUACUUGUGAAAAGCUCUCUUCAAUGGUGUGAGGUGCAUCGAGGCUCCAGAAUCCAUCCAGAGCACUUCGGCUUCGGACACAGUGGAUGAAGAUGCAGCGAGCGUCAUCAUCAACAUCGUGUCAGGUUGGCGUGAAGAAGAGCUUCUUUCAGCGCGAGCUUUCUCUGCGGCUUUCUUGAUCCGGCAUUCACGCUCCACGUGGCCAGCUUUGCCGCAGUAGUUACAUGGGCCCUUGCGUUUUUUAUUGGUUGCAAAUCCAGGGCUGGGAGAAGGGCUCUUUUGUCCUCGAACAGGGCCAUCUCGUUUCUUCCCACCCGAUUGCUUUCCCAUGAUCAAGGCCUGCUCCACCCGAGCAGCCUGAGAGGGCGCCUUUUGUCUCCGCUCGUUCUGCUUUCGUUCUUCCUCGAUCAGGUCCGAGUAGAGCGAGUCCAAGUCCUUUCCAGGUACAGCCGAGAGCAUCGAUGCGAAAGGUUGGAGAUCAGGGGAGACAGAGCUUAGAAGGAAUGCCUUAGCUUGGUCAAUGGUGAUUGCCGCUUCCGCGUCCUUCAGCUCGGUGAUCAUCGCUUUAAACUUUCCAAUGUAAGUGGCCAUGGUGUCAUCAGGUUGCAUUCUCAUCGUGAAGAACCUUUGUGUUAGCACCACCUUAGCAUUGGCAGCUUUGGCAGCGAAGAUUUGUGUAAGGGAUGUCCAGUUCUGGUGGGCUGUUUUGGUAAGAUCAAGGAGAUGAACGAAUUCAUCCCCAAGACCUAACCCGAUGACAGAGAGCGCUUUUCGAUUCUUGGAGUCCCAGUCGAGCCGUUGGGUUACAUCCGCAGCAGCCGGACGUUGAGUCGUUCCAUCCACUAUAGGCCAGCAGUCCUUGGCCAAAAGGAUAAGCUGUACUUUUGUUUUCCAAGUGGAGAAAUUCUGUCCCGUGAACUUUUGGAGAAGUUUCUCCCAGCCCCCAGAGUCCCAAGAAUUUCCUGCUGCGUUAGCAGAAGACAUUCUAUCUAUUAAUCUAAGAAUAGAUUAAACAGAGAAUUUAGAAAGGACGGCGUGGAGAAGAAUCGUGAAAAACUCGGCCGCAACAAGGGCACACCAUCCGGCAGGCUGGGCAAAGAGCUUGUUGGCGCUUUCGGUCCUGGAUCUUCCGCUCCACCCGCGCCAGCACUGCCAAAGCCCUCGCGCGCUCCUGAGCCAAGGGUUCCUGGCCCCUUUGAUUCUUCAUCUGCCACUGUCCUCUUGCCAUUAGAUCGUUCGCUGCUCCGAUACCAUGUGGUAUUAUGAAACGGUGUUGUGUUAUUAUUAUGACGGUUGAUACACGGUUAAAUGUAUGGGUUUAUCGUGACGAUCCGUGGCGGCGUCUGGAUCGCUCACGUGGCUGUGUGCUGACGUGGUCUUGUUCACUCCCACAUUACCAUGCUGCCAGAUCUUGCUGGACGGAGUCUGGGCCUACACGCACAAAAGACAACGACCAGUCACUCACUGGAGCUUUGGCACGCACGCCUGGGGCAUCCUAGUGCUGAUAGAAUCAAGCAGCUCACACGCGAGCAGAUGGUUGAAGGUCUAGACCUGGACCCAAGAGCCGUUCUUCCAUUUUGCCAGGGCUGUCAGCUAGGAAAAUCUACUCGCCAACCUUUCCCCAAGACUGGAGCAUCUCGAGCUACAGAGCUCAUGGAACUUGUACACACUGAUGUGUGUGGCCCGAUGGCCACCACAGCAGUGGGAGGUAUCCAAUACUUUAUCAGUUUCAUUGAUGACUACAGUCGUCGCACUAUGAUCUACCCUAUGGCUCGCAAAUCCCAAUCGUUACACUACUUCCAGACUUUCAAGGAUAUGGGAGAAACACAAACUGGGAAAAUGCUCAAGCGAUUGAGAAGUGAUGGUGGAGGCGAAUUCACUUCCAAUGCUUUCAACCAGCUGUGUGAGCAAGGAGGGAUUGUGCGAGAACUUACAACGCGAGAGACUCCACAACAGAAUGGCGUAGCUGAGCGCAAGAAUCGCACACUAGUGGAGAGUGCUCGGGCAAUGCUACUUUCCAGUGGUUUGCCUCGCAGCUUCUGGUUUCACGCUGUCUUGACGGCGAACUAUCUCCAGAACCGGCUCCCCACCUCUGCCCUUGCUGACAUCACUCCUGAAGAAGCAUGGAGUGGCAAGAAACCUACAGUUACGCAUCUGAGAAUAUUCGGGUGUGAAGCGUGGGCACACAUCCCUGAUGGAAUGCGCAAGAAAUUGGAUCCCAAGAGCCAGAAGGCUGUGUUUGUGGGCUACAGCCUCGAUCACAAAGCCUAUCGUCUCUGGAAUCCAAUCACGAAGCAGGAGAUCCUGAGCAGAGAUGUGGUUUUCAACGAGAAUUCGUUUCUUCCUUCUAGUCAAGGUUCUACUUCCAGACCUACCUUGACCGAAGAAAAUGACGUUGAAGCGGAACAAGAUCAGUUGACUGUCGGCACGAUCACUGUGCCGCUUCAAACAGUCCCUACACAACAACCCAUGCCCGCUUCUACUCCAACACCACCAACCCCGCCGCCUCCUCCAGAUCCUCUACGCAGAUCGAUCCGCACAAGGCGGCCUACUGAGCGUCUCAUCGAGACAAUGGUCUCCUCUCGUGCAGCUGGGACUCCUACUGUUCCGAGGACCUAUGGAGAAGCCAUGGCCUCACAGGAAGCGUCUUACUGGCGUGUAGCAAUGGAAGCCGAGAUUGCUUCACAGCAAAAGAACGAGACACAUGUUCUUGUUCCAACUGUGCCUUCCAAUCGCCAGAUUAUCAAGAGCAUGUGGGUGUAUGCUCUGAAGCUUAAUCCUGAUGGCUCGGUUCGCUACAAGGCGCGAUUGGUGGCGAAAGGAUGCUCGCAAGUUCCUGGACUUGACUACAACGACACCUUUGCUCCAGUGGUUAAGCAUUCUACUCUUCGUUCCUUGAUUAAUUUUGCUGCGGUGGGAGACUUUGAUCUGGAACAGAUGGAUGUGACCACGGCGUUUCUUUAUGGCGCGCUUGAAGAAGAAAUCUAUAUGGCACAGCCAGAAGGAUUUCUAGCCGCUGGAAAAGAGGAUCAUCUCUGGCUUCUCAAGAAAGCUGUCUACGGCUUGAAACAAGCACCCAGAUCUUGGUACAAACGCUUUGACGAUUUUAUACUAAGUGUGGGCUUUUCCCGUAGCGAGGCAGACCCGAAUCUUUAUAUUCAGGUGGAGGGUGAAUCAUUUGUGAUCAUCGCUCUUUAUGUUGAUGAUACUCUUGUCAUCCAUAACCAUCGCUUAAUGUUUCUCCAGGUUAAGCCAGAUCUUUGCAGCCAAUUUGAGAUGAAAACUCUUGGCUCGGCUUCCUACUUUCUUGGCAUGGAACUUGUGCGUGAUCGCUCUCAACGCACUAUCUAUCUUCACCAAGCCAAGUAUAUAGAAGAGAUGCUGGCCAGGUUUUCUAUGACGAGCUCUAAUCCAGUGGCGACACCAAUGGAACUAGGCUGCCAGCUUUCACGAGCCAUGUCUCCUGAGACAGAGGACGACAAGAGAGCCAUGGACUCCAUCCCUUACAGACAAGCUGUUGGCAGUCUCAUGUAUCCAGCUGUUUGUACGCGCCCAGAUAUUUCUUUUGCCGUGAGCAAAGUUAGCCAAUUCCUGGCUAAUCCUGGAUCUCAACAUUGGGCAGCGGUGAAACGCAUCUUCAGGUACCUUCGAGGUACUACUUACCUUGGAUUGUGCUACCAGGGAAAAGCGCUUACCCUCACGGGCUACUGUGAUGCUGAUUUUGGGGGAGACUGUGACACACGCAAGUCCACCUCUGGCUAUUCAUUUUCCCUGGGCAGUGCGACAGUCUCGUGGUGCAGCAGGAAGCAAAGUACAGUGGCAACCUCUAGUACUGAAGCAGAAUAUUUGGCAGCCUCACAAGCUACCAAAGAAGGUGUGUGGUUACGCUCACUACUUUCUAACCUUGGUGUGAGUGUGAAGACUCCCACUCGCCUCUUCUGUGACAAUCAAAGCUGCAUUGCGUUAGCGGCCAAUCCUCGCUUUCAUUCACGCACCAAACACUUUGGGAUUCAUCAUCAUUUUGUUCGUGAGAAAGUGGAAGAUGGCACAAUUGAGCUGAUCUACUGCGACACGACCACUCAGGUUGCAGAUAUCUUCACAAAAGCACUACCCCGAGAUCGAUUUCAAGUCCAUCGCGAAGGGCUGGGACUUUCUCCACUGAUGAGCAUCACUCGUGAUGGCCACAGUGCCAGUGGGAGUGUUGAGAGUGGCCCUGUGCCACGUGGCUAGUCCACGUGGAGAGACACGAGUCUUCACCGGUUCACCAUGUGACACAUAUGUACAUUUUUCAUUCCAUAUAUGCUAUGACGGAUCUUGAGCACCAUCACACGGUUUCACCUUUCAUUAGAUUCACACCUUGUCCGACGUUGCAAAGUGAGAGUUUUCGACCAUCUUGAGGUAACUGCCAGACUCCAGUCACCUGAAAAUUUAAAUAACCUUUUUAGAAGUCCGCAGUAAUUUUCCAUUUUCCAUAAGUACCUUGUCAUAUUUCUUGCGGAUCUUGACGAAUGCCAUCACGUUCAAGGAGCUGCCAAGUGAGUUUUCAACACUUUGAGAACAUGGAUCAAUCGUAUAGAGGUCAUUCACCUGAAGUUUCUUAGGAGUCGAAGCCCACGAUAAAAUUCGACAAAGGCCGUCUGGAGCAUCUUGGCUGCUCGCUGAACCUUUCCUUUGUUGCCAGGCUCCCCUUCAAGCUCUGAGAUUCGUCAUCUACAACAUGGCAGAGAUCAAACGAUUCCAAGUUAAGUGCCACAGAAUUAGAGGCUGCUAGAACGAACCUUGCAUAGCGAUGAGCUCUUCCAUUUGGAUGUGAAGUUGCCGUGCUUGAGCAUCGUACUCGUCUUCCUUGCAUCUAAAAAACUUGUCCACUUUGUUGAGCUGAUCGUCAAGGCCGAAAAAGAAGCUCUUUUCGUGAUCUGAUCGAGUUCCAAACAGCUCCGUCUCGUAAAAAUCCUCACCAUCUCCAAUUCUCGUCUUGUGCACAACCUGAUCGUAUUGAAGUGUUUUGUUUUGUCUUUACAGUCCAGAACAUCCAUGGACGUUUCCGAGGAUAUGGAUUGUUCGCAGCAGCUGCUCAGGAUGGCGCUGGGAUUUUGCAGCAAGUUUUGAAGCUUGCUCUUGUCAACCGAGAAGACAUUUGGAUCGAACACCUUGUGCUGCUGGUUCUUGGUAUGUAGGAUCUGGUUUUUGAUUCUCUUGACAACUUUCUUGAGCUGCUUGUAGUCGCAGUACUUCACCCACCACUCUGGGACGAGCUGGCCCUCCAGCUGCUUCUGGAACUUCACCAUGUCUGAAAGCUUGGAUUACCUGAGGCGAACAUCGUCAAGAAAACGAUCAAGCAAGAGAUGAAAUACCUGGAGGAAAUGGUGUCAAGUUCAGAAUGCCUCUUCAAACUUUUCUGGCGCCUGUGCUCUGGAAGCAGAGGAAGAACAGUGGCAGUGAGCAUAUGACGAGACAAAUGGUGGCGUGGAAUCAUCAAAUGCAUUGUGCUGGGGAGGAGCACCACCAAUUCUCACAAGAAAACAGCACCUUAAGAUCAUCUCUGGAAAAAAGGAGGAAAGCCUUCUUCUCACCGAGGCCAGCGAACAAUUACAUAAGAAUACGUUUUCCCGAGUGAAACUGACGCAGCAGAGUGCAGGAGGAGAGAAGAAGCAAGCGAUCCAUUGGCCUAUGGAACUAAAAAAGGAAGCAAAAGGACAGGGAAUGCAGGGGAAUCUACAUGAAAAGAAGUUGUCGUAAGUUACACACUUACACACACUCUCACACACUUCAACUCUUUUCUUGUCAACACGAGUAAUUUAUGCGAGCGAAAGGGAAUGAAAGAAUCAUUUGAGCAUCUAAAGCAUGGAAGGAAGCGAGGCACGUACUCUUUCCGGAAAUCACGCUUAUGGAACGUUUUGUUUUGUCGGAGUCCCAAUUGCUGGCGCAACCAAACUGAAAGAAUUGCACAAUCAAUCGCAAGCCAAGCUUGGAAUCGAGAGAGCUUGUUGAGUUCUUGAGGUGAGAGCCUUUUGCUCACUCAAAAACUUGGAGCCUUCUCUCCUUCUGCGAGAGGAAGAGGGAGUGGGGGAGUUUAAUGAUCUGUUUUAAAAUAGUGUUUGUUAAAAAAAACAAAAAACUUAAAUGCUAAAUACCUUUGCAGACUCAUAUUUGUUUUCCCUCCAAGAUUAUGGGAUGAAGAGCAAAAUAUUUUUCCAUGAUUGUCUCCUGUUUUUCUUCUUUCCCAACUGUAGUUGUCACUAGCUUAAUGUGAGACACAAAAUUCCUAGGCCCCAAAGUGGAGCCCGAAGGGUGCCAUGUGGUAGUGGCCGAAGCGAAAGCCAAACGAGUGUAACACGUUUGGGCCAAAAGCUCCGACUUGAAAGGUCGAGAGCAGGAGUGGAACUCCUAACGAAGUGCUCAAGGAAUGAGCACAAGGCGAGCAAUAAGCGAGGCUCCAAAAAGGGACCUAAAAGGACCAACACAUGACACGUGGAGGAGUCUGAGAUGGAGUCCGAGAUGGACCCGAGGUGGAGUCCGAGAUGGACCCGAGAUGGAGUCUGAGGUGGACCCGAGAUGGACCCGAGAUGGAGUCCGAGAUGGAGUCCGAGAUGGACCCGAGGUGGAGUCCGAGAUGGACCCGAGAUGGAGUCCGAGAUGGACCCGAGGUGGAGUCCGAGAUGGACCCGAGAUGGAGUCCGAGAUGGACCCGAGAUGGACCCGAGAUGGAGUCCAAGAUGGAGUCCGAGAUGGACCCGAGGUGGAGUCCGAGAUGGACCCGAGAUGGAGUCCGAGGUGGACCCGAGAUGGACCCGAGAUGGAGUCCGAGAUGGAGUCCGAGAUGGACCCGAGGUGGAGUCCGAGAUGGACCCGAGAUGGAGUCCGAGAUGGACCCGAGAUGGAGUCCAAGAUGGAGUCCGAGAUGGACCCGAGAUGGAGUCCGAAGUCGAGACCGAGACCGGGACCGAGACCGAGACCGAGAUCGGGACCGAGACCGAGACCAAGGCCGAGACCGAGCCCGAGCCCGAGUCCGAGUCCGAGUCCGAAUCCAAGUCCGAGUCCAAGUCCGAGUCCGAGUCCGAGUCCGAGUCCGAGCCUGAGAGGGUGAAAGCCCAAAGCGUUCGUCUCCCAGACCCUGGGGGGUUUGGUGAGCUCCAAAAGUAUAGUAGGGGGAGGACUGCAGUGGAGCCAGUUUGGCCCAGGAAGGCCGGACCCAGUGUUGGGUGAUGAGCUGCCCACUGGGAAGUCCAAGACUAGAGUGAACACGGACCGACAAGCGGGGUAGCUUGGUGAAGUGUUCAAGAGCCGGCUCUAGUUCCCCCGGGAGAUCGACUGGCCGAUGCUCCUAGUCCAAGUGUGGGUGGCACUACCUACUUGGAUACCUGGUGUGGCUCAACGGAACCCGCUCUAAGCCCAUGGCUAGAGCACCCAAGGGCAGAAGGCGAGGAGAGUACCCAGGUGGCUUGCGUAAGGCCACUGUGUUUCGAAAUGUUGUCCCAAAGGCCCAGACUGUGGAAAGGAAGAGGAGCAGUCCUCUGGGGUAGUGACCAAGGACACAGUCGUGUGGUGAGGAAGUCCCAGAGGACCGUGGGACUUAGUGGUCGGGCCUGUGGGUCUCAAUCCAGUGGCAGUGUUGGCAAACACGGCCAGGGGCAGAAAGGGACUUAGUGGGGACUGACAGAGGGAUAUUGGGGAAGGCUAUUCCCCUUGUCGGUGGGCAUCCUAAGGAUGCUAAGGAGUGGAUCUCAGAUGACCACUCACGGAUGGUUUGCCUAGUCUUGGAGAGCCAAGACUGUGAUGCAAGUGGUAAUGGACUACCAGCGUGGCAAAGGUGAUUGGGCAUGGCCUUAGCGUAACAGACUGCCAUGUCGGUGGUACCUUUGAGUGUCGGUCAUGGGAUCGGACACGGGGAGCACUUGGACCAAGUGCAAAUGUUGAGUGGCAUGGAUGCCAUUCUCAGGGCUAGCAAGUCCCAAGUCCUGGAUUGGACUUAUGGAGGUUGUGAAUGAGACUCCUCCAAGUGGUCGGAGGUGUGGUUAAGUGACUAAAGUAGAAUGGAAAAUUUAGUCCCUUACAAUUUGGUAUCGGAGCUGUUCCUUAGUCCGACUUUUAUUGGUGCUCAAGUAUAUCACCACUGGUGUUGGCAACGGAAGGUCUGAGAAGUGGGCCUAUCCUUGAGGAGUAGUAGGUCGGGAAGACAUGGCUCUCCAUUACAGUUCAUGUGUGAACUUGUAGACAAGGUGGUGGAUAGAAAAGGGGCCAAUAAUGGAACGACUUUGGGAUCUUGGGAACAGUGCAAGGUUUUCCUCAUUGAGUUGAGGAGGUGAUCCAGAUGAGCGUUUGACUCAGCAAACGGGCUAAUGUAGUUGGGGUAAACAACUAUAGUUGGGAUCACAGGGAAGAUAGAGACUCCAAAAAUAAUAAAGGAGUCACAAGUUUAUCCUCACAUGGUUGAGGCUGGUGCUCAUGAAGGUGAGACCGGAAUGGAUGACCGUGAGAGGUCAAGUAUGGAUGAGGACACGAGUUCUCGAAAUGGUAACCGGGACUACCUCUAAUAAAUGCUGGAACAACCCAAGGAGUUGGGGGUGUAUUAAGUGGAUGAGUUGGUAUUCUCAUCACAUGGACAAGUAGUCCUAAGGGGCAAAGGUUGCCCCCAGAGAACAAAAUCAAGUGUCAGAGUAACACUUGUGAAAAUAGUCCUUUUGAGUAGGACAGGAAUGCAAGAAGUGUAUUCAAGUGAGCUAGUGCCUCACAAGUGGGACCUUACGGGUCUGUGGAUUAACCAAGUCCAAAACUGCUGGAUGACUCAAGUAGAGUCAAGGAAUGGUCCUAAAAGGACUAAUGGAAGCAUUUGGACUGUACCCCAUGAAGGAUGGAGGGGGGAUCAUAGGAUCCAAGGAUGAGAAUAGAGGGUAUCUUAUCGAUGGCAAAAUGUGCCAUGCUAAAGUCGUGGGAAAGGUGUUCCCAAAAAGAAAACAACUUUGACACAAAGUUGUGUGUGACCUCUAUAAUGCAGUGCUAAUGAAUGGUUGGCAUGAGAAAGAGUGGUAUCGGUUUUGGCAAAGACUUAGACACAAAGAAGAAGUGUUAUAGAGGUAAGCUCGUAGAGCCGAUGGUGUGGAGACACCAAAGGUGCCAAUGUGUGAUACCUUGAGGCUAUGUUGGUGGGUUCAUGGGAACCCCUUGCCAAAGGAAUCCCAAUAGAAAUGGGAAUGGCAUAGCCUAAGCUGCAGAGCAUGCAGUUGGAGUGUGGUGACCCAGAUAAUGAUGGAGGUGUGGAAGCACCAGCAAUGAGUUGUAGGACUUGACAACUACAAGGCAACUAAGCAAGAGGUGCAAAAUAAUUGGUUAAACGGGUAGAAGGUAGCUACCCAAGCCUUCUUAAUGGCAUAGGGAAGUUGGAUAUACCUUUACGGGGGAUAAGUUACUUAUGUUGUGAUAUAGUAAGUCAAUGUCAUAAAAGGAAAUACUCAUUGUCAAGGAAGCCGUCAUUGGGACACCCGAACACUCUAAAACACCAGGAGGUGGUGUUUGAUGUCGCGAGGGCAGUAGAUAAGGCCUAAGGGACUAAGUCCCUAGCGAAUGAUGGAUAGUAGGUGCUAUCCAAAUGUCCAAGGUGGCGGAGACAGGAGAAGACUGUCUACUCGAAUUGGACAAAGCCAAAAAUGGAAUUUUGGCAAGGCUAGCGAUGGGCAUGCAAAGGCUCGUAAGCAACAACGUAAUCCCGGUGUGUGGGAUUAUAGGGUGAGCAUACAUGGAUUGAGGAACCACUCCCUAGGCUAUCGGGUAGGUUCAUCCCUAAGAAUACUUGCUAAGGCAUGAUAGAAAGUGCAAAGCUAUCCUCCUGGUCUGGAGGAGAAUGACUGAAGGAAAGGUGUGAAGCCAAAAGGAAGAAGUAAGGGGAUAGAACCAAACCAUAGGAAUCGAAGGGCAUAACCAAUGUUGGUUAUGCCAGCUGGGAAUGGAGAAUCAAGUGGGGGCUCGAGGGUGUUGCCGCUAGCAACCGUGAUGCCAUGGAGAGUCGAAAAUAUGGAAUUGUCCAUGUUAGACUAUAUGGUAAUUGGAAAGCUUGCAGAAAGGGGGGCCUUAGCAAGCUAAGGGACAGAGUUCCUUCAAGGUUCCCAAAGAGGAUUCUAGGUAGCUUAGUACCUAGAAAGGCCAAGUGUAAAUGGUUCAUGGAAUGCGCGAAAUCAGAGUGGCGCAGCAGAAGCGUGGUAUUGAAGCUUGCCAUGAGGCAAGGCUAUCAAGGUUAGGGAAGUAGUUCCCGAGUGUUCAAAGAGAGGGCUUUGAACGAAAGUCGAUGGUCAAGGACUUUCACGCUUAUGCAGGAACCAUGUUACAGUGGUCGGAGGACUUGCCAAGCGAGAUUGGCAAGUCAGGGGAACAAAUACCCUAGUUGAAGGUGAUAACUUCAAAAAGGGUGGGCCAUGGGGCCAAGCAUGGAGGAGUCCAUGCAUGAUCACAGACUUGUCAAGUGAGAGGACUUGGUAGUGUGGAGGAACUAGGUUCCUAAGUUGUGAUCUGUAGCGCGCUUUAAAUAUAGGUUGGUGCACCGGCGUGGGGAGUCACGCCAAGCAUCUUGUGUGAUGCCGUCCGUAGAUGCAUAUACGGAGGUUGGGUUCGAGUCCCGACCCUCUAGUGCUUGGGUUCGAGUCCCAAAUCACUAGGGCGUGGUGAUGGUUUGGAAUAUGAGGACACUCAUAUUUCGGUGGUCAUGGACUCUCAGUGUGGAGACUGGUUUGGGCACACCGCCAAGCGAGGGAUGCCUCGGAGUCGUGAUGCACAGUUAGAUUGCUUAGUGUGAAAGCUCGGCAUAUUUAACUUGAACGCUUUGGUGCAACUGGCACCAAGGUCGUGGUGAGUGAGAUGGGGACACCUAAUCUCAGUUGCUAUGAACCCCCAAGUUGGCCGUAAGGGCUAGCUUGGGUGCACCGCCAAGUGUGGGGGAUGCCCCCGGGGUUAUAGUCAACAACUUGGAGGUCUAGAAGACCAAGUACCUCUUGGCAACUCUGUUAAGGUGCCAAGGUGAGAUCACUAGAUGAUCUUAUGGCCAAAUAAGGACAAUGUCCUUGGUUGGCUAAAGAAUGAAGUUCCUGGUUUAAAAUGUUGAAAUUAAACUGUUUAAGGUGGUGUGGCUUGGUCGUGAUGACCAAGUGGGAAGAGCACCUAAGGGAAAUAAACUAUGUCCGUGCGAUGGCAUAGUGAGUCCAAGGAAAGUAGUCUCUAUAAAAGACCCAUGGGAGGGUCACGAAGUUGGGCCGUGGAUAAAGCCCAUAGCAGAAGAUGCUAAAGAGACGUAUUAGGGGUGAAUAUCCUUCGGACUUGGCAAAGAAGAGUCUUUGCUAUGGAACCGAAAGGAUACCUCAAAAAUGGAGGUAGCGAUCCUAUGUUGCUAGGUGCAACAAUCAAGGAUAGGAGCAAAGGACUAGUGGCCAAGUUUGGGCCAUGGAAUUUAAUGGAAGGGAUCCAAAUGGCAAAGUUAGCCAAGGAACACUAAUGUAUUCGAUGUUAACAGCUUGUGGGAAAGGAAGUGGACUUCCAAGGAUGGAUUCCUAAGUGCUUCAAUUUGGCGAAGUAAAAGCUCCAAGUGAGGGAGUGGUAAGGUAGCCAAAUGAUAGAGCCAUGGACAACCCUAGCACAAAGUAUGAUAAAUGGAACUUAGUGCCCAAGGUGGCACGAAAAAGAAGAGAGGAUGCUGGUGCCCUCAAGUAAUGAACUUCCUAGGAUGGGGAAGUGGAGUUGCACAAUCUGUGCAAUGCAAGGUGUUGGAGACACUUAGGAAAUUGACUUCCAAAAGUCAAAAGAGUAAAAGUUCCAAGGUGCAAACGUUCAAUAGAUAGAAAUUGAGAUUACUCGAGGAGUAGUGGGAUUGACUUAGAGAAGGGUCUCUAAGAGGUUUAGCGAGAACUAAACCAAUAAAAGGAGAGAACCACUACAUGUGGUCCAAAGAGUCUCUAAGUUGGGGAGACUACCCUCCUUAGAGGAUGGACAAGGCAUGGUGAGCCUUUGGUGUCAAACCAUAGACAAAGAUUGGCUAGGUGCCAAGGAUGGAAAUGGUAACACGUGUGGGUGUUACUUUAUGAAAGGGUUUACCGUUCGAUGAGGACAUCGAACUUCGUCUAUGGGUGGUGGAGUUGUGAGACACAAAAUCCCUAGGCCCCAAAGUGGAGCCCGAAGGGUGCCAUGUGGUAGUGGCCGAAGUGAAAGCCAAACGAGUGUAACACGUUUGGGCCAAAAGCUCCGACUUGAAAGGUCGAGAGCGGGAGUGGAACUCCUAACGAAGUGCUCAAGGAAUGAGCACAAGGCGAGCAAUAAGCGAGGCUCCAAAAAGGGACCCAAAAGGACCAACACAUGACACGUGGAGGAGUCUGAGAUGGAGUCCGAGAUGGACCCGAGGUGGAGUCCGAGAUGGACCCGAGAUGGAGUCUGAGGUGGACCCGAGAUGGACCCGAGAUGGAGUCCGAGAUGGAGUCCGAGAUGGACCCGAGGUGGAGUCCGAGAUGGACCCGAGAUGGAGUCCGAGAUGGACCUGAGGUGGAGUCCGAGAUGGACCCGAGAUGGAGUCCGAGAUGGACCCGAGAUGGACCCGAGAUGGAGUCCAAGAUGGAGUCCGAGAUGGACCCGAGGUGGAGUCCGAGAUGGACCCGAGAUGGAGUCCAAGGUGGACCCGAGAUGGACCCGAGAUGGAGUCCGAGAUGGAGUCCGAGAUGGACCCGAGGUGGAGUCCGAGAUGGACCCGAGAUGGAGUCCGAGAUGGACCCGAGAUGGAGUCCGAGAUGGACCCGAGAUGGAGUCCGAAGUCGAGACCGAGACCGGGACCGAGACCGAGACCGAGAUCGGGACCGAGACCGAGACCAAGGCCAAGGCCGAGACCGAGCCCGAGCCCGAGCCCGAGUCCGAGUCCGAAUCCGAGUCCGAGUCCGAGUCCGAGUCCGAGUCCGAGUCCGAGUCCGAGCCUGAGAGGGUGAAAGCCCAAAGCGUUCGUCUCCCAGACCCUGGGGGGUUUGGUGAGCUCCAAAAGUAUAGUAGGGGGAGGACUGCAGUGGAGCCAGUUUGGCCCAGGAAGGCCGGACCUAGUGUUGGGUGAUGAGCUGCCCACUGGGAAGUCCAAGACUAGAGUGAACACGGACCGACAAGCGGGGUAGCUUGGUGAAGUGUUCAAGAGCCGGCUCUAGUUCCCCCGGGAGAUCGACUGGCCGAUGCUCCUAGUCCAAGUGUGGGUGGCACUACCUACUUGGAUACCUGGUGUGGCUCAACGGAACCCGCUCUAAGCCCAUGGCUAGAGCACCCAAGGGCAGAAGGCGAGGAGAGUACCCAGGUGGCUUGCGUAAGGCCACGGUGUUUCGAAAUGUUGUCCCAAAGGCCCAGACUGUGGAAAGGAAGAGGAGCAGUCCUCUGGGGUAGUGACCAAGGACACAGUCGUGUGGUGAGGAAGUCCCAGAGGACCGUGGGACUUAGUGGUCGGGCCUGUGGGUCUCGAUCCAGUGGCAGUGUUGGCAAACACGGCCAGGGGCAGAAAGGGACUUAGUGGGGACUGACAGAGGGAUAUUGGGGAAGGCUAUUCCCCUUGUCGGUGGGCAUCCUAAGGAUGCUAAGGAGUGGAUCUCAGAUGACCACUCACGGAUGGUUUGCCUAGUCUUGGAGAGCCAAGACUGUGAUGCAAGUGGUAAUGGACUACCAGCGUGGCAAAGGUGAUUGGGCAUGGCCUUAGCGUAACAGACUGCCAUGUCGGUGGUACCUUUGAGUGUCGGUCAUGGGAUCGGACACGGGGAGCACUUGGACCAAGUGCAAAUGUUGAGUGGCAUGGAUGCCAUUCUCAGGGCUAGCAAGUCCCAAGUCCUGGAUUGGACUUAUGGAGGUUGUGAAUGAGACUCCUCCAAGUGGUCGGAGGUGUGGUUAAGUGACUAAAGUAGAAUGGAAAAUUUAGUCCCUUACACUUAAAUAUCUCUUGCACAUCUUCCGCUUUGGGAUUUGUAAUUAGCUUGCUUUUGAGAAGACAUGAAUCCAAAAAGCUUAUGAGCUUUCCCUUGGUUUCAUCCACCAUUGCAUUCACUAUCUCUCUAGCACCAGCAAAAUGUCCUCCAACUUUGGCCCCAAUAAAUAAUAGGAUCAAUGUAUAUUUAAGUACUGGAGCAAAUUUAUUGAGCCAAUUUGGUGGGAUAUUCAAUUCAACACCUUCAGAACUCUUCACUUGAUGACCUUUAGAAGUUCCUUGAGGCCAUUCACACAAAUAGUGAAGUCUACCAUGUGUUCCCAAUAUUUUACUGUAAUUUUUCCACCUAUUAUUCUCAUCAAGAAUAUAUGGAUAUUUUGGGCAAUCUGUCUCCAAUUUCAAUAAUACUUGAAAACACGUUGUAUGGAUUGCAUUCACUUUAUCCAUGAUAGACUUGAGUCCAUUCUUCAGCUCGUUAAGGCUUACUUCAAUGUUAUCAAGUUUUGUAUCCAAUUUGUCAAACCGGUUCUCCAUUUUAUCAAACUUCUUAUCAAAAUAUCUAAAGAUUGCAUCGAGUUUUGGGUCUUCAAUGUUCGAAAACUCAACAACAUCUGAUGAUGCUUUGGGAAUUGUGACUUCUCUAACCUCCUCAUAGUCCUUCAAAAAUUCAUAAAGUUCAAUAAACUUCUUUACCCCUUCAUGUUUUUGCUCGUUAGGCAUCAAUAGCUUAGCCAAAGCAUUCCAUCUGAGACUUUCAAAUCGUUAAUCACAUCCCAACUCUCUACUUCAUGUGAAUCAUUCCAAGUAUGAGAGUAGUCUAAACCGCUUUCUCUUGCUUCACAUUUGACUUGCUUUAAUGGAUAAAUAACUGCAUCCCAUGAUUUUGGUUUGCCCACAUUAUUUAGUAUCCUUCUCCACACAUAACCACGUCUCAUUACAUUUUCUUCAAUUUCCAAACAUGGGCAAUCCUCCAAACAUACCCCAAUAAUGCAAUUUCUAAUUUUUUCCAUCCAUCCUUUAGCUUCCUUUUCCAAAUCUGGCCUUAGUGUAUUCUCUACCUCUUUUGGGUAAUAGAUGAUGACAUCAACCCAUUGCCUAUCUUUCCAAUUGUCUGUGUCUCCCCCAACUCUCACAAUUGUCUUGAUAAGGUUUUCUUUCAAAGCCACCCAUCCAUUCCCAAGCCUGAAAUCUUUCUUGCUUAAUUUGUGAAGUUUAACUUGGAUCUUUGUGAAAAUACUUGCAGGAAACAAUUUCAAGUCCUUGUCUUUGCAUUCAAACCUCCUGCCCCAGUAGUUGUGGUUUUUUUGAGUGUCAAUUGGCACUGAGGGUGACAAUAAAUAUUCUGGAGGUGAAUAUUCUUCUUGCAAUAGUGUUGGCAUUCUCAACUCUUUGGGCAAGUUAUGCCAAUUCCCAUCCCAUGUAUCAUCCCAAGGCAAUAUCACUCCCAUCUCAUGGAGCACUCCAAGAAUGUACUCCACUAUUUUGUCUUGGUUCCCACAUUGUUGCUUCAACUGAUGUUUAACUCUGUGUGUUUCCAUUUGACUUUUGAGUUUGCUUGUCUCAGUAUGUAUGAAGAGUUGCACCACAUCCCUCAUAAACCAUUGGACAUCUAAGAUGACAAAUUGAGACACAAUGUCGUCCUCUUCAUGUCCCAAGCCAAAGUAAAUUGCAUCACCAGAAUCAUGUAGAAAUUGCAAGACGAAUUUGAGAACAUCCUUGGAACUCCUGUGAGGCAAAAGGAUUUUGCCAACUUUAUCUAGGGGUAUGACCUUCUUGUGAGUUGGAUCUUGUACCAAUUUCCUCUUUGCUUUGAGACAUUCCCGUGGUAUUUUUUGCUGGGCUGACAGCAGUUCUUCCAAGCAACUCCCCAACAUGGUUUUUAUCCCCCUUAAAUCUUUCACUUGAGUGGCCACCACCUCAAAACAAAGAUCUGUCCCAAACUCAAGUACUUGCUCAUAGCCUUUGUCGGAGAUUAUUGCAGAAACCACCUCCUUUGGGUCAAAGUCGGGUUCUGGAGUGAAAAAGUUCGAGGCAAUCAAGACCCUGGGCUUCCUUUUGGGUGAGGCUGAUUGAUGUGAAGCGAUGAACCUCAGCCAGUAAACCAAAUUCUGCUUGAAAACGUCACAAUUGUCAUCCUCCACCUUGCAUACGAUCAAGAAGAGAUCGUUCUCACUUCCUCUGAGAAAGUACUGGUGGAAAGCAUGGAACUCUUCCUGUCCAGCCAGGUCGCAAAUGAGCAGCUUUUGUUUGGUGGUCGCAUAGACAAGUGGUUGCAGCUCAAUGCCUGCUGUUGAAGCAUGCCUUUGGAGACAUGAUGGAAACCAAGACACUCUGCGGCAGAGGUUUUUUUUUAUUGUGGUCUUUCCAACCCUGCUAGCACCACACAAGAAGAGCUUUGCUGUUGACGGGUUGUCAAAGUCUUUGAAUGCACUCUGCUGGAAGAUUGCAUUCCGCUCUAAAAGACCAGAACACCUCUGCUUGAAAGCUUCAGAAGCUUCGGAAUCCCAGCCUAGAUCAAGCUCUUCCACGAGGCUUUGGUAGUUUUCCUCCAGGGCAGCCAGAAUUUGUCUUUUCUGUGCAUCACUUGUAAGAUCAGGAGCCCUGAAUCUGCGCACCUUGCAUUUUGGAUCCCCCAGCAACUGGCAAAGCUCUUCCAGGUUUUCAAAUUUUCGCUCAGAUAUUUUCAAGUCUUCAAUGCUGCUUCCCAAAAGGCACCUCCAUGGCAGUUCCGACUCACACAACAAAGCUUUCAGAGACUUGCAGCUGGAGAUAGCUUUCCAAAAGAGCUCCCCAUUCGUGAUUUUGCAACUCCAUAUACCCAAAUGCUCCAGUUGGCUCUUCUCUAUGCCCUCGGCAAACUCCAACGUUAACUCAUCUUGUCCACCACUUAUUACCAAAUGGCGCAGCUUACAAUGUGGACUUGAGAGGGCUGACCACAGACUGCUGUCACCGACCAUUCCUCCUCCCUCGUUGGGCGAAAAAAGAUGAAGCUUGAUCAGCUUGCAAUUGGGAUUUUGUAGCGCUUUGCCCAACCAUCCACCACCUGGAUAAAGAGUAACGCUGAGUUCCUCCAAGCCACACUUAGCGCUGCUCAGGGCCUCACCCAGGCCCGUUGCAUUGCUCAGGUCCUCACUCUGUCUCAUUUCUUGGCAAUCUAAAACUGACAGGCUGGUGCCCUCCUGAAGAGCCUUGCAUACCCAUGGCAACACUGCAGGAUCAGUUUCCCAAAGUAGGUUUAGUCUUUGCAGUGAACAGCUUGGACAAGUGAGUGCCUUGAAGAGUGCUUCACCUGCCUCCUCUGGAAACGAAUAUGCCUGCAGUGCCACUAGCUUAUUGCAAAUGCCAUUCUGAAAUGCCUGUUCCCACCGUGCCUUGCCUAAACCCUCAUCUCUGAUGGCUAACUCUUCCACCUUGCACUCCUGACUUGCCAGAUCCCUACUCAAUUUCCCAAAUCCUUCCACUGUCAUCCUGUUCCCCAGCAAUUGGAGACGUUUCAAGUUGUUUCCUGGUUUCCUAAGGAGUUGGCUAAGGAGAGUCUCUGGGUUCCCAACAUUGCGCAAGCAGAGCUCUGUCAAGCAGUCGAGCUGAGCAAAGGCCAACUCAAGCUCCUGAGGUGGUGUGAGGAUGUCUUUGCCUAGCCAAUUGAAUUCUAGCCCUUUCAAGACCUUGAAUUCCUCUGUCAUCGUCAGUAGCUUUGCAAACCUCUGCAUCUCAAUCUGCCAAAUAUCCUGUCCCUGCUGAGGAGGAGCAAUGCCCUCUGCCACCCUUUGCAUUCGAUCACUGGGAAUGCCCAACCUACAAGCGACCCUGGCAACGGCGUUGAUGAAUCUGAUGUCGAGCUGUGGUACCAAAGCGGCCUUGAGAAUGUCAAUGUGAGCAGCAGCAGCAGCAGACGAACUGCCAUCACCAGGAGCAUCUCCCACAUCCAGAGCCCUGUCUAACCAGGGUGGAUUUGAAAUGCACCAGUUGAGCACACCAAUCAGAUCCUCCUCUGUGCCUCCAAACCACUCGACGGUAGCACUCACCUCAUCAACAAACUCACCUUUGGAUGCGUCAAGCGCCUCCAGCUUCCCGAUGUGCCCACAAUAAAACCCAAUCGUAUUGAAGUGCCGCUUGUUGUCCCGCUUCGCUGCGAGAGCCUCCUUGAUCUCCUUGACAGAGAUACAGUAGGUCCACACUCGUCGCUCCUCCUCCAUGGAAGUUUGCCCUGGAUCGAAGGGACAGUGGAGAGCACGAGUAAACUUGUAAAAGUGAACCUUGCCAGCAGUGGAAGCAAAGCAGUAAAGAAAGUAUGCCAGCUGUGCAAGAAAAGCAAAGCAUAUGCCAGCUGUGCAAGAAAAGCAAAGCAUAUGCCAGCUGUGGAAGCAAAGCCAUCGUAUGGAAGCAAAGCGGACAGUACAAGCAAGAGUUAAUUUAGGUUUUAGGGUUCUUCGAGCAAGACGGCCGAGAAGCGAGCUCAUCGCGACGAGAAGAAGGUGUGGGACGAGGAUGAUAUUGAUGCGAUCUUGGUAAGCAAAGCACUGGCCAAAGACUCUCAAUCGUUUUCCUUCUUGUCAGGCUAAACUCCACGAGGAGAGAGCAAAGAAGAGCGAAAUUCAUGUCGAUGAGAAUGUAGCAGCUCCUUCACCACAAUGCAAUUGCUCUGUGCGUAAGAACUCGAUUGAAAUCUCCACUCUGGAAGCUCACAUUCUCUAGAAUUCUUCUUUUCUUGCGUUUCAGGUGACUGUAAAUCCCGUCAAGGACACUGCGCUGAUCGUCCAUGGAGGUGAAUACCAACAAUGGUGACAAGGUUUGUGGUUAGUUUCGCUACGGUGAUUUGAUCUUCGUGUUUGCUAUGCUAGACUUACGUUUAUGGUGAUCUCUACCAAUACAACAUCGAGAAGAACGAGUGGAAGCCUGUCACCAGUCCAAACUCUCCUCCCCGAGAAGCGCUCACCAGGGGGUUGCGUGGAAAAACUGGCGCUUCAGUUUUGGUAUGAUGUAUUUUUCAGGACUUCUCUUGAUUUUGGCAGUGUAGGUGGUGAAUUCGGUUUCAUCACUAUAAGGUGACUUACAAGAGAGUUCUUGCAGGAUUUAUGGAGACUGGAUUUAAACACAAACGUGUGGCGGGAGCAGCUUCAACUAAAAGGCUGUCCAGGUGCUCGUUCCGGACAUAGAUUGGUAUGUAUUGCGCUUCUAAACAUAAUCUUUAUUUUUUUCUUUCUUGCCACAGAAACAUAAACUUAUUCUAUUUGGUGGAUUUUAUGACACGCUGAGGGAAGAAAGGUCGGCCGUUUCAGCAGUGUAGAUGUUUAGUAUUGAAUUUUUGACACAGGUACUUCAAUAAUCUUUAAGUGCUGGAUUUAGACGAUUAUAAGGUUUGUUUCUGUCGCUCAUCGCUCUUCCUUGUUUUUUAACAACUAAACUGAUUUCCUUUUGCAGGUGAUUCCCUGCACAGCGUUUUUAUGAUCGAGAUGUAUAUGCUUUCCAGAUGGUUUGUAUCUCGUCGAUUUUUUUAAAAUUAUCUAAACACCAUCGCUCGCAGGUAUCCUUUGGAGCUUCUCAAGCCAAAGAGCCUAAAGAUUAAGGUAUGGCAAUCUGAGAUUGUGUAGUGGUUAAGUGUGCAUCCAAAGCAGAAGAAAGUGGCUGAUCCAAAUGUGGAAAAUGCGUCUCAACGUUGAGCGUUCUGCUUGAAGGUUGUUGCCUGGUGGAAGAAUGAAUGCUGGAAUGGUCGUUGGAAAGGAUACUUUGUUUCUGUAUGGAGGUAUGAAAGAAGUCGGCAAAAAAAAAGUGACACGACGACCUUUCCUCGCUGGACCUUCGAUGUGUGGAAGUGCAUUAUUGAGGUUAGUAUGAUCGAGCCAUCAUCCAGCCUCAUACUAAUGUCUCAAGCAGGAAACACAAAGCGCGUGGAUUGAAGCUAGUAAGGAGAAAGGCGAAACUGAUGGUGACAACAGUCACCAUGCUGGAUCGAUUAAUAAAGGAAAAGACGAAGAGGACGAUGACGAGGUAGUAAAAAAGAAGGAUGUAAGAAAACUUGUCGGUUUCCUUUUGUAUUCUAGGAUGCAGUGGAGUCACUGUGAAGAGGCAGCUGCUAUUCUUAGGGGCGAAGGCAAAAAGCUGACACAGAAAGCACGGAAAUUAAAGAUCGAUCCGAGCUGGGCCUGGCUGAUUCCCAACAAACACUUUUGGUGAGUGCUGAUAGUAGUUCAUCUUCCUGUUUUGUUAUUGAUUUGUCUUUCAGCCUGGAGAAACGCUGAGGGAUUUUUUAUCUUGGACGAUCAUGUGUUGGCAAAUGGCACCUUACGAUCACACCCAACACACUGGAAAGGUGACAACGCAGGUUUUCUUUCGCUCGUUCUUCAUGCUCUAUGCAUCUAUCAGGAGCUCAGGAAGGAUGGAUUUGACUUGGCAAAGAGACGCUACAGAGAACUUAAACCCGGUUGGGGUCCACGUCGUCAACAAAACGAUGCGGAUCAAUGUUAAAAACCCACAGACUGGUACGUGCAAUGCUUUACAGCCAGAAGUUUUGGCUUUCUUAGCGAAAAAUCGUGCAGAAUCUGGCAAGGAAAAGGAAAAGUAUAAUCGGGCCACUAACAUUGCGAAUGGAAGAUAAGCUAAAAUGCAUUUAUUUUCGUUCUCUUUCUUUCUGCGUGGUAUGGCGGACUUCUCUCAGCAUAUCCCGAGCUCCAUAUCCAGUGAUUCAAAGCAAAGUUCUCACCCUUAUACCCCUCUUUGAUGAUAGUCGGGCAAUUAUCACACCACUAUUCUUCCAUGUCUUGUGUGUCUCUAGUCGGCCAACCAGAGUAUAAAAUGCGCCCACCACCUUCAUUGCAAACUCCCCCCGCUCCCUCUUCCUCUCGCAGAAGGAGAGAAGGCUCCAAGUUUUUGAGUGAGCAAAGGGCUCUCACCUCGAGAACUCGACAAGCUCUCUCGAUUCCAAGCUUGGCUCCUUCGGUUAUUCUUCUCCUCUUUGUCCCCUUGCAAGAGUAAGUUUUUUCUUUGCUUUCGUAGUUCUGAGCUUGCGAUUCUUUCAGUUUGGUUGCGCCAGCAAUCGGGACUCUGACGAAACAAAACGCUCCAUAAGCGUGAUUUCCAGAAAGAGUACGUGCCUCGCUUCCUUCCAUGCUUUAGAUGCUCAAAUGAUUCUUUCAUUCCCUUUCGCUCCAUAAAUUCCCUUUCUCGUGUUGACAAGAAAAGAGUUGAAGUGUGUGAGAGUGUGUGUAAGUGUGUAACUUACGACAGCUUCUUUUCAUGUAGAUUCCCCUGCAUUCCCUGUCCUUUUGCUUCCUUUUUUAGUUCCAUAGGCCAAUGGAUCGCUUGCUUCUUCUCUCCUCCUGCGCUCUGCUGCGUCAGUUUCACUCGGGAAAACGUAUUCUUAUGUAAUUGUUCGCUGGCCUCGGUGAGAAACGAAGGCUUUCCCCCUUUUUUCCAGAGAUGAUCUUAAGGCGCUGUUUUCUUGUGAGAAUUGGUGAUGAUUCCACGCCACCAUUUGUCUCGUCAUAUGCUCACUGCCACUGUUCUUCCUCUGCUUCCAGAGCACAGGCGCCAGAAAAGUUUGAAGAGGCAUUCUGAACUUGACACCAUUUCCUCCAGGUAUUUCAUCUCUUGCUUGAUCGUUUUCUUGACGAUGUUCGCCUCAGGUAAUCCAAGCUUUCAGACAUGGUGAAGUUCCAGAAGCAGCUGGAGGGCCAGCUCGUCCCAGAGUGGCGGGUGAAGUACUGCGACUACAAGCAGCUCAAGAAAGUUGUCAAGAGAAUCAAAACCCAGAUCCUACAUACCAAGAACCAGCAGCACAAGGUGUUCGAUCCAAAUGUCUUCUCGGUUGACAAGAGCAAGCUUGAAAACUUGCUGCAAAAUCCCAGCGCCAUCCUGAGCAGCUGCUGCGAACAAUCCAUAUCCUCGGAAACGUCCAUGGUCUGUGAUGAUGGUCUAAAACACUUCAAUAUGAUCAGGUUGUGCACAAGACGAGAAUUGGAGAUGGCGAGGAUUUUUACGAGACAGAGCUGUUUGGAACUCGAUCGGAUCACGAAAAGAGCUUCUUUUUCGGCCUUGACGAUCAGCUCAACAAAGUGGACAAGUUUUUUAGAUGCAAGGAAGACGAGUACGAUGCUCAAGCACGGCAACUUCACAUCCAAAUGGAAGAGCUCAUCCCUAUGCAAGGUUCGUUCUAGCAGCCUCUAAUUCUGUGGCACUUAACUUGGAAUCGUUUGAUCUCUGCCAUGUUGUAGAUGACGAAUCUCAGAGCUUGAAGGGGAGCCCGGCAACAAAGGAAAGGUUCAGCGAGCAGCCAAGAUGCUCCAGACGGCCUUUGUCGAAUUUUAUCGUGGGCUUCGACUCCUAAGAAACUUCAGGUGAAUGACCUCUAUACGAUUGAUCCAUGUUCUCAAAGUGUUGACAACUUACUUGGCAGCUCCUUGAACAUGAUGGCAUUCGUCAAGAUCCGCAAGAAAUAUGAAAAGGUACUUAUGGAAAAUGGAAAAUUAGUGCAGACUUCUAAAAAGGUUUUUUAAAUUUUCAGGUGACUGGAGUCUGGCAGUCGAAAACUCUCACUUUGCAACGUCGGACAAGGUGUGAAGAAAUUUUCCUUUUGAGGGUCUUGCUGAUGGAAUUUCAUUGCUCCAAUGCACUCCAAGCGAGCAAUCAUGGAAAUAUAAACUUUAUCCUGGGUAAGAGCAGGAUAUCCAUUUCAUGCAUUCGGACCGUCGUUAUUAAUUAACCUUCUAUCACCAUUGAUGAUGCGACGCAGAGAUUGUAUACUAGUGGUUUCAUGGCAAUGGCAUUGCCUCUAGAAAAGGAAAGCAGUCACCAUACCUUUGGGAAUAACUGUAAUCUAUUCAUUUAAUUUUCAGCUAGAACUUUCAGAGAUCACGGACCUUAUCGUUUCUUCUUGCUGCGCUUUUGGUAGCCUCCUCUUCGGCGUUGUGGUCGGCUUCAAGUCUCGUGAGCUGCAAAUCAAACAAUGCUGUAGUGAGGAUUCCUUCUUGAGACACCACUUUACCUUGUCAAGGACGGGUUUAAGUUCUCUGUAGCGUGUCUUUGCCAAGUCAAAUCCAUCCUUCCUGAGCUCCUGAUAGAUGCAUAGAGCAUGAAGAACGAGCGAAAGAAAACCUGCGUUGUCACCUUUCCAGUGUGUUGGGUGUGAUCGUAAGGUGCCAUUUGCCAAUACAUGAUCGUCCAAGAGAAAAAAUCUCUCAGCGUUUCUCCAGGCUGAAAGACAAAUCAAUAACAAAACAGGAAGAUGAACUACUAUCAGCACUCACCAAAAGUGUUUGUUGGGAAUCAGCCAUGCCCAGCUCGGAUCGACCUUUAAUUUCCGUGCUUUCUGUGUCAGUUUUUUGCCUUCGCCCCUAAGAAUAGCAGCUGCCUCUUCACAGUGACUCCACUGCAUCCUAGAAUACAAAAGGAAACCGACAAGUUUUCUUACAUCCUUCUUUUUUACUACCUCGUCAUCGUCCUCUUCGUCUUUUCCUUUAUUAAUCGAUCCAGCAUGGUGACUGUUGUCACCAUCAGUUUCGCCUUUCUCCUUACUAGCUUCAAUCCACGCGCUUUGUGUUUCCUGCUUGAGACAUUAGUAUGAGGCUGGAUGAUGGCUCGAUCAUACUAACCUCAAUAAUGCACUUCCACACAUCGAAGGUCCAGCGAGGAAAGGUCGUCGUGUCACUUUUUUUUCGCCGACUUCUUUCAUACCUCCAUACAGAAACAAAGUAUCCUUUCCAACGACCAUUCCAGCAUUCAUUCUUCCACCAGGCAACAACCUUCAAGCAGAACGCUCAACGUUGAGACGCAUUUUCCACAUUUGGAUCAGCCACUUUCUUCUGCUUUGGAUGCACACUUAACCACUACACAAUCUCAGAUUGCCAUACCUUAAUCUUUAGGCUCUUUGGCUUGAGAAGCUCCAAAGGAUACCUGCGAGCGAUGGUGUUUAGAUAAUUUUAAAAAAAUCGACGAGAUACAAACCAUCUGGAAAGCAUAUACAUCUCGAUCAUAAAAACGCUGUGCAGGGAAUCACCUGCAAAAGGAAAUCAGUUUAGUUGUUAAAAAACAAGGAAGAGCGAUGAGCGACAGAAACAAACCUUAUAAUCGUCUAAAUCCAGCACUUAAAGAUUAUUGAAGUACCUGUGUCAAAAAUUCAAUACUAAACAUCUACACUGCUGAAACGGCCGACCUUUCUUCCCUCAGCGUGUCAUAAAAUCCACCAAAUAGAAUAAGUUUAUGUUUCUGUGGCAAGAAAGAAAAAAAUAAAGAUUAUGUUUAGAAGCGCAAUACAUACCAAUCUAUGUCCGGAACGAGCACCUGGACAGCCUUUUAGUUUGAAGCUGCUCCAGCCACACAUAUUUGUGUUUAAAUCCAGUCUCCAUAAAUCCUGCAAGAACUCUCUUGUAAGUCAGCUAGAAACACAGCUUAUAGUGAUGAAACCGAAUUCACCACCUACACUGCCAAAAUCAAGAGAAGUCCUGGAAAAAUACAUCAUACCAAAACUGAAGAGCCAGUUUUUCCACGCAACCCCCUGGUGAGCGCUUCUCGGGGAGGAGGGUUUGGACUGGUGACAGGCUUCCACUCGUUCUUCUCGAUGUUGUAUUGGUAGAGAUCACCAUAAACGUAAGUCUAGCAUAGCAAACACGAAGAUCAAAUCACCGUAGCGAAACUAACCACAAACCUUGUCACCAUUGUUGGUAUUCACCUCCAUAGACGAUCAGCGCAGUGUCCUUGACGGGAUUUACAGUCACCUGAAACGCAAGGAAAGAAGAAUUCUAGAGAAUGUGAGCUUCCAGAGUGGAGAUUUCAAUCGAGUUCUUACGCACAGAGCAAUUGCAUUGUGGUGAAGGAGCUGCUACAUUCUCAUCGACAUGAAUUUCGCUCUUCUUUGCUUUCUCCUCGUGGAGUUUAGCCUGACAAGAAGGAAAACGAUUGAGAGUCUUUGGCCAGAGCUUUGCUUACCAAGAUCGCAUCAAUAUCAUCCUCGUCCCACACCUUCUUCUCGUCGCGAUGAGCUCGCUUCUCCGCCGCCUUGGCCGUCUUGCUCGAAGAACCCUAAAACCUAAAUUAACUCUUGCUUGUACUGUCCGCUUUGCUUUCAUACUUCCACAGCUGGCAUAUGCUUUGCUUCCACAGCUGGCAUAUGCUUUGCUUUUCUUCCACAGCUGGCAUACUUUCUUUAGUGCUUUGCUUCCACUGCUGGCAAGGUUCACUUUCAAGUUUACUCGUGCUCUCCACUGCCCCUUCGAUCCAGGGCAAACUUCCAUGGAGGAGGAGCGACGAGAGUGGAUCAUCUGUGAUUCUGUCAAGGAGAUCAAGGAGGCUCUCGCAGCGAAGCGGGACAACAAGCGGCACUUCAAUGCGAUUCGGUUUGAUUGUGGGGAGAGGCUGGAUGCGCUUGACUCAUCCAAAGGUGAGUUUGUUGAUGAGGUGAGUGCUACCGUUGAGGGGUUUGGAGGCACAGAGGAGGAUCUGAUUGGUGUGCUCAACUGGUGCAUUUCAAAUCCACCCUGGUUAGACGGGGCUCUGGAUGUGGGAGAUGCUCCUGGUGAUGGCAGUUCGUCUGCUGCUGCUGCUGCUGCUCACAUUGACAUUCUCAAGGCCGCUUUGGUACCACAGCUCGACAUCAGAUUCAUCCACUUCGCUGCCAGGGUCGCUUGUAGGUUGGGCAUUCCCAGUGAUCGAAUGCAAAGGGUGGCAGAGGGCAUUGCUCCUCCUCAGCAGGGACGGGAUAUUCGCCAGAUUGAGGUGCAGAGGUUUGCAAAGCUACUGAUGAUGACAGAGGAAUUCAAAGUCUUGAAAUUGCUAAUAUUCAAUUGGGAAGGCAAAGACGUCCUCACACCACCUCAGGAGCUUGAGUUGGCCUUUGCUCAGCUCGACUGCUUGACAGACCUCCAGUUGUGGCAUGUUGGGAACCCAGAGACUCUACUUAGCCAACUCCUUAGGAAAGCAGGAAACAACUUGAAACAUCUCUGGUUGGAGAGGAACAGGAUGACAGUGGAAGGAUUUGGGAAAUUGAGUAGGGAUCUGGCAAGUCAGGAGUGCAAGGUGGAAGAGUUAGCCAUCGUUCUGGAUGAGGACAUUGACAAGGAAGGGUGGGAACAGGCAUUUCAGAAUGGCAUUUGCAAUAAGCUAAUAGAACUGAAGGCACUGUUUCCAGAGGGGGCAGGUGAAGCACUCUUCAAGGCACUCACGAGUCCAAACUGUUCACUGCAAAGACUAUACCUACUUUGGGAUAGUGAUCCUGCAGUGUUGCCAUGGGUAUGCAAGGCUCUUCAGGAGGGCACCAGCCUGUCAGUUUUAGAUUGCCGAAGUGAGGAC